rnacentral:lncRNA from 1 species
UAUUCUCCUGCUUGAGCCCUCUAAUCUCCUGCUUGAGACUUAUCACUUCCGCCGCCAAUGAUUCAACUUGACGGGUUCGAGCAAAUAGGCGUUGGGCCAUAUUAGACACAGAACCUGCACACUGCACACUGAGAGCCAGAGAAUCCUUAACAGCCAACUCAUCAGACUGUUUGGAAAGUAGUCUGUUAUCUCUGGGAGUGACAAGGUUCCGGGCCACCACCGCAGCGGUCAUAUCAUUCUUCACUACUAAAUCCCCAACGGUAAGAGGACCAGUAGGGGAUAUGAAGGAUGAGCGUCAUAUGUUGUCUGGAGAAGAAGGGAUUGCCUCUUCACCAAGGUUCAAAUCAAAACGACGAUCGGAGGGGCCAUACAUUUUCAAAAUGUUGAAGAAAGAAAAGAUCAGACAAAUCAAGAUCUUAGAAGUGCAAGAAUGGAGUUUUCACAAGCGAAAAUUCAAUUGUGCUUUGAAACGAACAACGUGCCUCUAUAAAAAAUCAGCACUCGACGGGAUUUCAGAGAUCGAAGAGGCGAGCUCAGAAUUCGAAGGGGCCAAUUCAAGUAUUGAAGAGGUGCUAGCUUUCUCAAAAGCUGGGCUUGCUAAAAAAGACACGGGCGAUUUUACUUUCCAGACUUGUCCGCACUUGUCACAUGCAACCUCUACACUCGACAAAGCUCAGAAAUCGGAGAGGCAUCUUGCUUUUCCAGACGCGUCAGCACCCAUUACACGCAAACUCAACUUUGCGGAAGUCACGGGUAAUUUGUCGAAGCGCCGAUCCCAGAUAUCGAAGAGGCGCCAGUCUUUUUCAACCGCGUCAACACCUGUUAUAUGCACACUCAGCUUUGCGUAAGUCACGGGCAAUUUGUCGAAGAUUUUCGGUGAAGGAGAAAACACGUGAAGUUUACUGUUCAAUCAUCCAACGGUUGUCGACACGAGUGAAAAAAUAAUACCUCUACAGGUAUUAAGGAACUUCCUAUAACUGUCCACCUUCACCCUUCAUAACAAUGCAAACAUACAGAACCUUUCUUCAUCUCCAAAAAAAUGCUUUCCCAACGAAACCUCUCGAGUCAUUCAAUGUUCCUUAUUCCUUGGGGUACCUCUGCAAGCCAAUGACUCCAAAGUAAAAGUAUCUCAUAUCACCAGGGUAGAAAGCAAAAGUAUCUCAUAUCAUGCGUUCUCCCUAUCCUUUCCUUUGUCCUUGUUCCUACCUACAAAGACAAGGAUAAAGAAAACAAUAUGCCGGAACUUCCACUCAAACUCGGGUAAGAAACCGACUGCUUGGAACCUUUCCCUGAGUGCCUGCCUAGCACUGCUCUCGAGUACUCGUCUUCCACUGCUGCUGUACUUUCAAAGAAGCUACCAUAUCUGCCUGGAGAACAGAUAAGGCAAGUGAAAAUGAUACCUUGCAGCAUGUGGAGACAAGGUGCAGAAGGAACAAGCAGAGAAGAAUGCGUUCUGCACAGUCAACUCAGCAGAAGAAGUCCGAGCUGAAGAACUCGAGAAGCUGCCACAUCUGCCUGAAGAAACAAGCAGAGAAGAAUGCAGCAUGCACAGUCAACUCAGCAGAAAGAGUCUGAGAUAAAGAACUUAAGAAGAUGCCACAUCUGCCUGAGGAACAGAUAAAGCAAGGGAAAAUAAUACAUUGAAGCAUGUGGAGACAAGCACAACAAAGCACGUGCCGAUUCAUCCGCUGCUUCUUCAAAAUCAAAAGUAUCUCAUAUCAUCAGGGUUGCAAUCACUCUGGACGGUGAACUCGUUUUGACCCUGAAAUUCUUGGGUCGACUUACUAGGUGUUGUGGGAUGCACGUGCCGAUUCACCACCCUUGAAUCGAAUCCUUAAAGAUCAAGUCACCAACUGGAAGAAAGCCCCAUCAAUCUUGAAGAUCAUACCGUUGACCAAACUGCUCAGGUGUGAAUUAGAAAGAUUGAACAAAGAAACAGGUUGUCACCUUUACCUCGUGCCUGCUUGCCAUGUGUUCGAGUCAACCUUUAAGAAUCAAGCCUCAACGGCCCUUGAAGAAGUUUCCAACCAAAUUCAAGAUCAAGCCUCGACGGCCCUUGAGGAAAUCACAAGUCCAAUUCAAGAUUAAGUGUCUACCACCAUUGAAUCAAAACCUAGUUCAAGAAUAAGUUGUGGAAAAUCAACAAUUGGAGGAAUCCAGAAAAUCCUCCAACCCAGUUCAAGAUCAAAGCUGUGGAAAGUCAACAAGCGCAACAAAAUAUGUGCCGAUUCACCCACUACCAAAGCCAAAGAUCAUCUACCACAUGAAGCUCCUUGUGGUCCAAUUUCAACCUUCAAGAUCAAGCCUCGACAGCCCUUGAAGAAAUUUCAAACAAAAGUUCAAGAACAAGCCUUAACGGCCCUUGAAGAAAUCUCAAGCCCAAUUCAAGAUCAAGCUUCAAUGGCCCUUGAAGAAAUCUCCAGCCUAAUUCAAGAUCAAGCCUCGACGGCCCUUGGAUUGACAUCUACAGUAAAGGACUUCAAAACGCAUCUCCUACACGUGACAAGCACAUGUAUACGACGCGCCUUGAAGUGGGGGCAUUUGUAGACAUCGAAAUUUCGGUAAAUAAAUGUUGACCGAUAAAUCAAAGUGUCAACGCUCAUGUAUUACAUAAAUUUUACACGUAGCGUGUGACUCAACGAAAAUUGAAAUGAGUUGGAAAAGUCAUCAAAUAGGACACGUGUCAACACCUGGCAGAAACGACUUAUUUCAUCUGGGAUAUUAUAUUCAAAAUUAGGCCUUGGAAAAUUCUAUAAAUACAAGCCCAUUUCAUUCAUUUGAGGGGGAACCAAAAUCAUUAGGCAAAAUUCUUAAAGCUCUGAAGUUCUGAAACUCUAAAACUCCGAAGCUCUCAAGCAUCCAGGUUCCCGAAGAAUCAAGAAAUCUCUCUUCGUUCUUCGUUCAUCGUUCUUCGUUCAUCGUUCUUCCAAGAUCAAGCCCCAACGGCCCUUUGGAUCAACAAUCAUCCACCACUUCAAGAUCAAGCCCCAACGGCCCUUGAAGAAAGUGUUCUUCGUUCUUCGUUCUUCGUUCAUCGUUCUUCCAAGAUCAAGCCCCAACGGCCCUUGAAGAACUUCCACCAAUUCAAGAUCAAGCCCCGACAGCCCUUGAAGAAAGUAUUCAUCGUUCAUCAUCCGUUCAUCCAAGAUCAAGCCCCAACAGCCCUUUGGAUCAACAAACGUCGACAAAUCCACACAUCCAACCGUUCUUCAAGAUUAAGCCCAAAAGCCCUUGAAGAUCCGUUCAUCACUGUUCUUCAAGAUCAAGCCCAAAAGCCCUUGAAGACCCGUUCAUCAUCGUUAUUCAAGAUCAAGCAUUAACGGCCCUUGAAGAAAUACUCAUCAAACCCCAACGGCUUAUUGAAGAUCCGCUCAAAUCCACCUUCAAAGAUCAAGCCCACGGCCCCUUGAAAGAAACUUCCAAUAGUUCAUCCAAGAUCAAGCCUCGACAGCCCUUGGAUCAACGAAACAUCCACAAAUCAACGCCUUACGGAGAUCGAAUCAGAGGAUCAAAAUUGAGAGAGAUUGUAACCCAAAAUCAUCAAAUACAUAAUAUUUGUUUGUGCACGUUGUUCUUGUCUCUUUCGUUUCAGGAAUUUUCCGUGUUUACAGUCAUUUACGCUUUAUUCUUCUUACUGAAUUUCAUUUUUAAAAUUUUAUUUUUUGAAAACAUGAUCAUCUGGCGGAUGUAAGAAGAUGAUAUCAUGUUUCUAUAUUUACGGUUAACUGAAAUAUGAGUCAAUGUCAUAUAAUUUGUAGAAACUUUAUAAACAUCAAGCAAUAUUUUCACUAACCGUAAAACUCUAAAUAUAAUAUCAACGAUCCAAACCGUUCAUCUACCUACACCCUCUAAUAGAUCAUGUUUUCAAAAAUGAAAAUCUAAAAAAACGAAAUUUGAUAAGAACAAUGAAGCAUAAAUGUAAACAACAAUCAACGGUUAAAUUUUGAUCUAUGAAUUAUAUGAUUAUAGUAGCGAAUUUCGAAGUUAAGCUCUUCAUAAAAGUUAUAAAGCUUAUCAUUAAGAGUGUUUAUAUAUUUUUUUCUAUAUUUUUUUACACUUCUACAUUAAUUAAAAAACUAUUAAAGACUUUAGGUAAGCGAAAAUAUACUUCAAACAAAAUUGUGUUUUUAUGUUUUGGAUGUGAUAAUAUGGAAUGUAUAUACUUAUUUAGUAUUAUGUUUUUCAUUUGAUUAUUUAUUGGUUUAAAAUAUAUUUUUCUUAACGGGUAACGGGUCAGGUCAUAUUACCUGUUAAUAUUAUCGGGUCGAUUUCGGGUCGGGUCAUUUUACCCGUUUAUUUUAACGGGUGUUACACGACACGACCCGUUAAGAUAUCAGAUAUGACACGAAAACGACACGAACACGGAAAACACGAUACGAAUGCCAAGUCUAAUAUAUAUAUAUAUAUGUAUAUGUAUAUGCUUAUAUCUUAAUUAUGGGAAAAUUUUACAUGUUUUACAGCAAGGGGUUAGUAUGUUGAUAAAUGAAAUGGUUUUGUAAAACAUUUGUUUUUGCCCACUCACGUUUUCUAUUUUGCGCCCCUUUAGGUUUUAAGUAAGCUUGUUGUUGGUGGCUUGAGGAUGUUGGCAGUUCUGACUUAUCUAAAUAAUAGUAGGACAUUUCUGGUACUGUAUAACUAGUACUUGUCCUACUGGACUACACCUAAACUUUAUGCUCUGAUUAGGAGUGUUCACUGUUGUAACUAACACUAUCACUUUCUGUUUAGUAGUACACUCUAGUAAUUUGGUUUUUAAUUAUUCGUAUAUUUCUUAUCUUUAUUGCUUCAGCACUACGCACAUGGCUACGUCACUCUCACGUGACGUCCAGCAUGCCUUGAUCUCGGUCGGGGUGUGUCAGUGAAUGUUCAUGCUAUCAGGGUUGCAAAAAUAUCAAGAUAAAAACCUUUGUUUUGGAAGAACCUGAUUACGUGAUGAUAUAGAUGAACUGGUUUGUUGCAAAAAAAGCUUCAUUGUUAGAUUCUUAAGUGCAGCAGUAAGAGCGUGUUGUAGCUUAUUUUAUCUCACUACAGGGUAUGGGCAAUGGCAGGGAGAGACGUGUUUGUAGAAUCAUAGGGGAAUGUGUGUUGAGAAUGUGUUAUCUCCCUACGCAGUGCUUUUAUUUAUAGUAAUAAGAGGAAGAAUAAUUCCUUCAUCCCUAAGUAAUACAAAUCCAUAUAGGAAAGAAUAACUAAAAUAAAAUCUAAUCUAGGAUUUACACAAUCACACUUAAAUUAGGAAAGUUUAUAACACCAUCUAAAUUCUAAUAAUUAAUUAUACUUUUUUUUUAAACUAAUUAAAAGGGUUUGAAAAUUUUGAGUUUUAACGAUAUAAAGUGAAUAGUACCAAGAUUAAUUUUUUAGUGUAAAAAUGUGGUUUUUCGUUAAAGUGAACAGUACUAGAAACUUUUCUUUAAAGUUCCUUUUUUUUUUUUUUUUGAUUUUUUUGAUUGGAAAAAUAAAAAAAAUAAAAAAGGUGGAGGAGGGUGCAUCAUGCAGUGGCACGUGACUUCACACGAACGUCUUCCAGGAACUCAGGAAUUAAGCAUACAGACAAUCGCCGAAAGGUCUUCAAUUUGGGGUCACAUGAGUUAACUACGUCCGUCCGAUCAACAUACUUUUCUUGUUCCAACAAUCCAGCCGUAAAUAAUUAAACGCCACCAUAGCAUCGUACACCUGAAGCAACACCGUAAUAUAUCUCCUCUUGGCGAGCCGGAAGAGCAAGUGUCUUUGUUCUUCGCUGGAAAUAUUUUUCUAUUCAUUUUCUUUUCCGAAUUCCGAUUAUCCAAACGGGAGCGAGGAAGAAGAAUCCGUCGGACAAAAUCUCACUGACCGGAGCAUCCAAUCCAAAUGGCGGUUUCCGUGACGGCGUCCACGAUUCCUUCUCUCAGCUCUGACCGUACGACUCGCUUAGCUGCGGCGGCGGCCUCAUCCUCCUCCUCUUCUUCUUGUUCAAAGCUGUCUUCCUCUACUUCUCUGCGAUUUCCGGCGCAGCUUCGACGUGUUCGGAUCGGAACUCAGGACUCACGGCCUCGGCUUCUUCCUCCGGUAAUGAAUUUUCCGUUUUUGUAGUUUCGUAGUCUGUUUGUUUCCCGAGAAAAUCGAGGAAUUUAACCUGAUGAAAUUGUGUAGCGUUAAAAUUCCUGUUCUAAAAUUUCUGUGUUUUGUAGUGGAAGAGAUUGCAAAAUUUAAAUUUAGGAAGCAAAGCAUACAACUGCAAAUCUUGUUGUUAUCAUAUUUAUGGCCCAAACACCAAUUGCUUUGUAUUUCUUUGGUCCUUGCCGUUUCCUAUGAGUUGUGAGAAAAUCACAUGGGUCGGUUUUCGGAGUUUCCAAAUUUUAGUCUUUUCAAGAGAAUAAAGACAUUUAAUCGAAAAGUGCAGGAAAAGUAAACUCAGAGGAUGGUUUGCAAGACAUAGAUUUAGCAUGCUACAGGAGGCAUGUGGAAUAUAGAGCUUAAGGACAUGGAACUCACUAUUGAUUGUCUUUGAAAUGGUUUUGUACUUGAUUUUGGCGCACGCAGUUGAUUUUUUAGACUAUCGGUAAACUAAUUUGGAAUCAAACCUCUCUCAAACAAUUAGAAUGCACAAUGUCACCGAUAUAGGAUAUUAGGUUGCAUCAGUUUGAUCUUCCCCCAUUUUCCAGGUAAAGUACCUUUUCAUGAUAACCGUUUGGGGCAUAAAGUUGGGAAGGGACAACCUAGAACCAAAAUUAUUGAAUGGGAUGAAAGGUGUAGAUUGUAAAACUUGGAUAGUAUAUCUUGUAACGAUUUGAAUGAUAGAGACAGUGAGCAAAUCCAUAUUCGGGGCCUUCAUGCAUGGACUCGAGUGUUCUUUAAUCAUCUAAUCAGAAGCCGAUUGUUUAUACCAGUCAAUCGACGGUCCUCCUAUCACUACUGGCUUUGCCUCAAGUUACAAGUGAAGUUUCAAUUCAGGAUGAUGACCUAUCAUGUUGAAGAUCAACACCAGCCCAAUUGGUGUUUGGAUUCUAGAAGAUUCUAGCAGCAAGUCUAGAGGGCAGAGCUUCCUGAAGACUUGCACUUUGUCCAGGUGCAAUGGAACUAGAUUUUUCUAUAGAAUUAUCUAAAGCUAAGUAGUCUUUUGUAGAAAGGAUUAGAAGGAUGUUUCUUAUGUCGGUGGAAGGCUGUGUGCAUGAUCAAUGCACUAGAAAGUUCUAGUGAUAGUAUAAGUCGGCAAACAUGCCUUAUAAAUAUGUAUGUAUGAGUGUUGUAAUGUAACCAAGAAGAAGUAAGAGAGCAAACCAAGAGAGAGCUAAGUAAGAGAGUGAGAAGCCUUGUAAGUGAGUAGUCUUGUAAAGAGUGUGAGUGGUCUAGAGUUUGUCUCUAGAAGUGAGAGAGUGUCAUACGUUCUAAAUUGUGUCCUUGAUAGUUGUUGUGUUGUAAUAUUCUGUGAGUUAAUACAAGUAAUUUGUUUACUUGUUUUGUCUCUCCAACACUUGUGUUAGAGCUGUGUAUUCUAGUUUUUCCUCAACAUAUCACUUAGGUGGUUAUCCAUAUGGACCAUGUUGUGACAGUUUCAAUAGCUGCGUGUACUCUUUCUUUGCUGUCUUUGGAAUAUUUAGCCUGUAUAGCUGAAUUACGAAGUGUGACUGAAUUGGUGAUUCAGUAAUUACAUGUAUAUGUGGAAAAAAAAUUACUUUUCGUAGGUUGAAGCAAAGAAGCAAACAUUUUCAUCCUUCCAAGAUUUGCUGGCUACCUCUGAAAAACCUGUGUUGGUUGACUUCUAUGCAACCUGGUAAGCUUUUCUUGUGUAUCUCACUUCUUAUUUUGUUUGCAAUUUGUCAUUAUUGUUGUAUUGUCAGCUAAACUUUAAUUCCUAAACAAGGUGGUAGCUAUUCACCUUUUAGGUUUUCCCUCUCUAUAUAAAGGUAAGAAUAGACAAUUAAGUAAUAAACUCUGGUUGACAGGUGUGGACCUUGUCAAUUUAUGGCACCCAUCCUCAAUGAAGUCAGUAUUACGCUGAAUGACAAGAUCCAGGUUGUGAAAAUUGACACAGAGAAGUAUCCUAGCAUUGCUGAUAAAUAUAACAUACAAGCAUUGCCUACUUUCAUCAUAUUUAAGGAUGGAGAGCCAUUUGACCGCUUUGUAAGUUGAAUUUGUUCUCUUUUUUCCUUUGGGAGAUUAAUAUGUUUGCCUUUGGUAGACGAUCAAAUGUCUAGAAAUGUGUAAUCUGUCACAUAACAUCUCAUACUGAUUGCAUGCUUUUUAUACGGCCAGAAUAUGGACGGGUAUUGUCAAGUUGUUACGAUUUGCUGUUAAUUCCACUUUUUAGAUUUUGUAAGAUAUCCUAUGCACUUGCAUUGGUUUACAAUUUCGUCAGGUGUGUUGCUUUGCAUGCUUUUCUUCUUCUUUUGCUUAGUUUUGAUUCGAAGAUGUUGAAUUUUAAGGAUUUAUGUUCUCUUAGAUCCAAAAUAUUAAAUAGAAUAAAUAAUGUAUGUUCUCCGUGCAUGUAUGCAAGGCACUGUUAGAUUAGUUUUGGCGGUUUUUCUUUUUGGUUUUUUGGUCGAUUUUAAAUAUCUAUGAUGACUUUGCUUUCAUUACUUGCAGGAGGGUGCUAUGACUGCUGAUCAGCUUGUCGAACGAAUAGAAACUACUUUGAAAGUUAAGUAGGAGACAGGUGAGCUCUAUAAUAUUCGUGAGUUGAGAGCACUCGUAUCGUCCGCUGUUCUUUCUCUGCUUCCUCCUCCCCAUUUCCUAACCUUUCCUUUUUCUUCACUCUUCAUUUAUUGGUCCAGCUUCUCAGGUUGAACCGAGAAGCUGAUCGAUUCAGCCGCAUUGCAAGAAAAAUGGAUUUUAUGAAGAAAGGCACUGGAUGUUUCCUCUGCUUUUUUAUUUUUUGUAUGUAACUGGUUUGUACCAACAAAAAAGUUACGAGACUUGGCGUAAUCGCACGGGUAAAGCUUAGUGAAAACAAUUUUACGAUGUCAGUUUCUGUUGUGAUAUACACAUCCACAUCAGUUGCAUUUGAUUGAAAUUCAUGAUUUGGAAAAGUUAAUGAAAUUUUGUGGACAUUCAUUUCAUUUGCAAUGCAACUUAGACCUUAUUGGCAAUUGGUUUGUGGACACAAGAUUUACUACUUAAUUUGGAUACCUUGUCAAAUUAGAGUCAAUAAUUAACAAUGGCAUAUCUAGUAAGAAGUUAUUUCUGCAUGCCUCCCUUCCCAUUUCCUACGGCUGUUUAGCUUGCAAGCACACAAAUCAUUUGUAAUAAAGAUAUGCAAAUACGAGAUCAAAUUCAUCGAGAUUGAAUGAACAAUAAUUUGGUAUCUUAUGUUUAGCUGCGGACAUGACUGACCUCAGGAGGUCUCAAUGGAAAAAAUUUCAGAAAAAAUGUAGACAAAAGUAACAUUGAGGAAUUAAAUGAUAAUUCUUUUCAUUCGUAAAUAAUAGUGUAAACAAUGUUAUUACAAUCUACAAAGUCCAAAAUUAUCAUCGACGAGUUUUCAUAUUUUGAAAAUGUUUAUGAUAGUUUCAUACUCAACGAUCAAUCCACAACUCUAAUAACUGAAAUUUGAGAAUAAUGAGUACAAAUAGUGAACUUGAUACACUAGGAAGCUUAAGGAGGUCCCAGAAAGUCCAUAUUCGGGGCCUUCAUGCAUGGACUCGAGUGUUUCUUAAUCAUCUAAUCAGAAGCCGAUUGUUUAUACCAGUCAAUCGACGUCCCAGAAAGUCCGCUCUUCUGCUUCGACGUUGCUGAACCCGCUCUACCAUGGAGACGGCUCCCUCCUCGUCUUCCUACCCAUGGCACGGGUUUAGUCCUCCUUGAUGGUCAGCUAAUGUUCACCUAAGCUUUCGCACUUAGUAAACAAGCCUUCACUAGUUGCCUGGAACAUAACUACUAUUACUAUGAUGAUUAUUACGCCGACCACCACGGCGUUUAUAAUGCUUCUGGUUCUAAUUGGGGUGUAGUAGCCUGUCAACUGUCCAGUACCGAUUCCGAUGACUUCGGAACUUGGAUUAAGCCCAUCCAAAUUCUGGAGCCAAGGUUGCCGAGUGAAUUUUGGGGGCGAUGCACACUUAUAGCUUUGCUCAUCUAGGAGGUUCAAAAGUAUGCUUUGUUCUUUCCAAUCCCAUCUCGCACCCAAAAAAAAUUUGUCUUUGGAAGGUGCGUCUUCUUGUUCAAACUUUUGAGUUUUCCUUCUCCAAACAAAGUACCACCCUCACUAGUGCUGCUUUAUUUUAUUGUUUUUUAUUUUUUGUUUUUUUUGGAAAACCUUAAUGGUAUAAGGGUAAUUUUAUUGAUAACAAAAAAAUAAGUUACACCUAGACAGAAGGGGACAUAAACCUUACCCCUCAUAAAACAGAGACAAUAAAUAGGAAUACACGAAAAAGAAGGGGGAACAUAAACCUUACCCUUCUAGAAAUAAAAAACGAGAAUGAUACAAAGAAAAGAGGGGGGGGACAUGAAACAUAAUCCCUCUAAAACCAAACCUAAAGGUCUAAACUUGCAAAACAAGUCAAACAACCCCAUAAAGUUAGGAGAAAAAAAAAAGUGAGACAAACCUGGAUGCCGACAUGCACAUUAAUUUGAGAAGCAAUAACCAGGCAAGCCAACAUAGUCUGAAAACAAAGCAGCACAAACCGCCAUCGGAGGAGAAUCAUGCCAAGUUAAAGAUGGAGAAGACAAUCCCAUGUUAGCAAAAUUGUCUGCAACAAGAUUUACUUCACGAUGUACAUGAGAUACAUAGAAAGUCAUUUUCCGAAUACGAUCUAAACAAAUAGACCAUUGCGUAUGAAGAGGCCAAGGAGGAUCAAAAUUAGACGAUUGAAGAGCAUAAAUAACACUAGAACUAUUACUUUCAAACCAAAGACAAUGCCAACCCUAUUGAUAUGCAAACUCAAUACUAAUAAUAAUUGCUAAUAACUCUGCAAAAAAAAAAAAAAAAGUUGCGAUGACCAAUGCAUUGACAGAAACCUCCAAGAAAACAACCAUGACAAUUCCUGAAAAAUCCUCCACAUGUAGCAGGAUCAGAAUUUCCUUUAGACAAACCAUCUGUAUUAAGCUUAAACCAAGGAAACCAAAGGACAGGAAGAAUAGUAGGUGCCUUGCGAGGGAUAGGUUGGAUCCCCAAAGAAGAAAUGAUCCGAGUGUCAAAACCUUGAGAAUAACCAGAAAUAAACUUCCCACCAUGAACAAUCGCCGAAUUGAUAGAAAUGCAAAAGACGAUGAAAAUAGAUUGGACGACCCUAAAAAAUAAAUUUAUUUUGAGCCUUCUAAAUAGCUGAAAUAGUAGAAAGACCCGCAAAAAUCCAUAGAUUGUGCAACUGUUUGGAAAAUGGCUUACAGACAUAGACAUCCCAAAAAACAACCAAAGAAUCUGAAAGAGGCAAAAAUGUACCAAAUUAACAUACUAACCACCUCCAAAGUUGCCUAGAUAUCUGACAUCCAAUGCUGCCGAUGAUGGUGAUGAUUAUAAUUAUAAUGAUGGAGGCUGCGAUUCAAAAAGAUCAUUCGAUUUCUCCUCUUUCAAAGCCGACAUCCUCUCCACUCGCAACUUUGAAUACGAUUGGUGCGGAGAAUCUUUUGAGACUGCUCACGCAGCCGUGCUUGGUUGCUUUGCCCUGUAAGUUUCGUCGGUAAGGUUAACUUUCCAAUUCUAUCCCAUUUUCUGUAUUUGCUUUCUCCUGCGUGCGGCCUUAACUUGUAACUGUACUACGUAGGAAAGCAUUAGUCAAUGUAUUUCCUGUGCACACACUAUCACUUGAGGAACAAGUUCGACUGCAUUGUUUGCGAUUUAAGUCAAUCUAGACCCUGCAUUGCAACUCGCAUUGGGUCUUACUGGAACUACUUACAGCGAGCAUGCAAAACCCCCUGCGUGUUGAUUGAGGUUCUGAGGGGGAACACUCCAUCAAGCACGUUGAAGAUAUGGUCUGUAGCAGCAUUGCUUGGAAAUUGGAAAUUGGAGAUCUGCCUAGCUAGCUACUAUUUCUGUGUCUAGCUCCUCAUGUAGUUUUCUGUUAGGUAAUUUUUUUUUUUUUUUAAAUGGAAGAACAGGCAUUUUAUUAAAUAAAAAAAAAUAUUUAGUCAUAUUUUUAGGCUUAUUAUAUUUAUACCCUACAUAUUGUUGAAUAAACCUUAUAUACUUAAUACACCUCAUAUUUACUUUUUCAAUUAAAAUUUAUCUUAAUACACCCCAUUUACUUUCCCAUAUUACCCUCCCACCCCCAUUCUCAACAUACACCUUACAUUUUCUAUAUACACCCCAAAUUUUUUAUAACUCAGUCACAAUCAAGAUUGGAGGAAGAUAAGGCUGCUGAGACUUUGUUGAAGGUGGCAGACGAGGUUAUACGCUGAGGUUUAAUGACAAAAAUUCGAGGGUAAAAGCAGCAAGGGAAAGGAGAACAAUUAGAGGGUCUCUUGUAAUGUGAAUGGCACUAGGACUUUGCCCAGAUUGGCAAAAACGUAGCUGAAUGUUGAUGUAGUUUUAUUGCAUUUUCAGAUGUAUGAAAAAAAAAAACAUAUUUAUUUAUUGGUGUUGAAUUGCAGAACAAAGAUUGUGUUUAGCCAUUUUAUUACUAUUAUCAUUUCUUUAAAUUGGGGUUAUGCCGUGAGAUGAUAUACAUAAGGAAAUAUUGUUAAUUUCUUCGCACUCCAUUCAAGUUCUAACCUUGUAGUUUCAUCAUUUUGCUUGCCUUUGCUGGGAAGACAAAAAAAAUAGAUAAAUAAUACGUUAAAAGUGAUUUGAGGUUUAUUCAGAAUUUUUUUAUAUUUUUAAAAAACUAAUAAGGUCAAAAUUGACAUUGUAUAGAGUGUAUAAGUUAUUUAAUAUCGAAUUUGAAUGUGAGGUGUAUUUAUCAGUACGGAUGUGUACAUCUUUUAUUGGCACGGAAGUACUUAUCGAUUAUGCAUUGAAUUUUUUAGUAAUUUAAUUCAAAAUGUGAAGUAGCUUUUGUAAAGUUACCGAAAGCGCCGUGACGGAGAUGAAGAUGGAAAUGGUGUAAAACUUUUGACGAGUUGAACCGAAAGCGCCGUGACGGAGAUGGAGGUGGAGAUGGAGAUGAGGGCCGGGGAAGAAAUAGAGAUAGGACAAGACAUAACGCCACCGCUCCCUCCGCUUUCUUCCUCUCUCCACCACUCCCUCCUCUCAUCUCACUGCUCUUCCUGCUUCUCCCCUCUCCCUCCCCAACCCUUCCCUCCCCUCUUUACUCCUACCUUUCCCAACACUCCCUCCUCCUACUACUGCUCCUCCCUCUGCUCCUCCGCCGAUUCUCCCCUCCACGUCUCCAGCGCCGAGCCCUACCUUCUCCUGCUUCUCCAAUCCCACCCCUCCGCCUACCCCAACGGCGACUCCUCCGACCUCCGCGCCGCCCUCCGCCUCCUCCAAUCCCUUCCCGCCACCUCCCCCUACCCUCGCGUAGCCGGCCUCCUGACGAAUCGCCACAAACUCCUCCACCACCACGACCAUAGGGUUCGCGACGGCGCCAGAGCCAUGUUCCUCGCCAGGAAGAUGCGGGAUGAAUCUCCGAAUUUCUCUAUCGAUGCGACUAUUGCCAACGUUGCUCCGCACGACGCCGUAUUGGAGGAGGCCGUGCUGUCAUUGGUGCUAACGAACGCCGUGGAGGUGCAGGAUAAGACCGGGCGCACCCUUGGAAUUUCCGUCUACGGUCCCAGCUUCUGCUGGAUCAACCACAGCUGCUCCCCGAAUGCUUGCUACCGCUUUUCUUUGAUGACACCGCCAACGCCACCUUGUUGGCCCGAAACGGCGCUGCUGCGCAUUGUCCCCUUCGGCCGCUCCUCCGGUCGUGCCACACAAGUAAUCCCUGCAAAUUUGCACCGUUUGUUUAAUUUAUAGUGGAAUAAGAUUGAAAUUCAGGGUUGUGAGAUGGAUAUUUGUUGCAGAUUGAGAAUGGUGUUUGUAGCAAUAAUGUGUUAGCAAAAGGUGUUGUGGUUUUUUUAAGUUUUCGUGCUUCUUUUCGGUUUUUGUUUGUUUGAAUUAGUACACCAAAUUUACCAGUAUUAUUGAACCAUUCGUGUAUAUUACGAAUGUAGAAAGCCGAGGUUAUGGUCCAAGAGUGACGGUUAGGAGCAUCAAGAGAAUCAAGAAAGGCGAAGAAGUGACUGUUACUUACACUGAUUUGUUGCAGCCUAAGGUAUCUGCAUUUUAUCUAUAUACACAUUAUACAUGGAUCAGCGAUUGGAAUUUUGAAUUCAUAUAAUCCACAUCUGUUUUGUCAAGUUAACUGAGCGAUGUUUCGAUGACUGUGAGAUGAGAAUUUGCUAGUGUCAUUUUCUGCUUAUUGUCCCUGUCUUAGGAAACUAAACUUGAUGAGACAAUGCAAGGCAAUCCGACUUCUUUCCACUUUAGGGAUUAGCUAAAUCUUGCCCCAUUUGACUUUUCUUUUACUUAUUUCCAAUUUUAAUUGUGUUGAUGUUAUAUUUUAAUCCCUUUCUUUUAACGUCACAUUUUCUUUUCUUCUCAUGAGCUCCUCCAGGCAAUGAGGCAGUCAGAGCUAUGGUCAAGGUAUCGGUUUAUCUGCUCUUGUACGCGAUGUAGUGCAUCACCCCUAACCUACGUGGAUCAAGCUUUGGAGGUGGCAAUUCAUGAAAACUUUUUCUUUCUUUCUUGAUAUUCUCAAUUAAAUACUAAUUCUUAAGUCUAUUUGGAGUUCUUCCGUAAUAUCUUUAUACUAUUGAUUUUACAGAAAUUAUAAAUGCACUAGGAUAUUUGUACUUCUAGAUUCUUGUUUUUGUAUCCCCCCCUGUAUAUAGUUUGGCCUUCACUUUGAACAAAAGCUCUUUUUCAACUUGAACAUGAAUUACCUCCUAACCAUUUUUCUUCCUCUCUGGCAGUCAACUUUAUUUCCUAGGAUGUAGCUAAUGUUCUUAUUGGUGUUUUUUGAAUAAUCAUUAACCUUCGGUUUCAAAACUCCAGGAAAUAUUUGCAGUCAAUUCCAACUCCUCCAGUUUGAGUUUAGAAAUAAACUUCAAUAGAGAUAAGGCAACGCAAUUGUUGAGUGUUUACUUUGAUGAUGCUAUUGACGACUACCUGUCGAGUGGCGAUCCUGAAUCUUCUUGUGAGAGGCUUGAGCAUGCGUUCACACAAGGACUCUCUGAUAUGCAAUUAGAUUGCAACGGAGAAACAUCUCAGCUGAGAUACUGGUUGCACCCAUUAAAUUACCUCUCCCUAAAUGCCUACACAACAUUGGCUUCAGCGUAUAAAAUCCGUGCAACUGACAUGAUAGCUUUAUGUUCUAAAAUGGAUGAUCAUCUGUUAAAAGCUUUGAACUUAAGCAGGACUAGUGCAGCAUACUCCUUACUACUUGCUGGUGCAACUCACCAUCUGUUCCGCUCUGAAUCGUCUCUAAUUGUAUCUGUUGCAAAUUUCUGGACAAGCGCAGGGGAGUCAUUGUUAACUCUUGCUAAAAGCUCAGUCUGGAGUGAGUUUGUCCACCGGGAUCUGCCUGUGUCAAAUCCAUGUUCCACUGCAAGUUAUAGAUGUCCAAAAUGCUCAUUGAUAGACAAAUUUGAAGCUUGUUUAUUCUAUGGUCAAGUUCAACAUGCAGAUUUUGACGAUGUCUCAAGUGAAUUCAUUGAUUGCGUCUCUAACUUUACACAGAAUGUUUGGAAUAUUUUGGCUCUCAGUUGCCAGUACCUUAGAUUGAUUAAGAGUCCUAUUGAUUUCAGUUGGCUUGGUACCACAAAAGAUUCCAGUGUAGGGGAAGUUCUGAUUCGGUCUAGUGGCACUAAAGCGGGUUCUUGUGGGACUGAGAGAAGCAUUUCUGGAAGUGAAGCAGAGGGAUACACAGCCCAGGUACGGAUAUGUAUUUUUAAGCUCGGUGUCCAUUGCUUACUAUAUGGAGGAUAUCUAGCGAGCAUAUGUUAUGGUAAUUCCCAUUUGACCUGUUAUGUUCGUAAUAUUUUAGAUAUGGAAGGGAUAUUAUUGAAUCCUUGUCAUGAACCAAAUUGAGUUUGAGAUCUUAGAAGUUAAAUUAUUCCUGUUUUGGUGUUAAUUGCUGUGUUAUUAUACUCGUUAAGAAUCUGUUAAAAAUGUUGGUUGCAUAUAUCGUCUUCUCUGCUUGUGAUUUUUCGCCUCGAACUCUAUUCGUCUUGCAUGAUGCCCCAAGGAAUCAGCCACACGUAUCAGAAGUUUGUGUCAACGGAUUCAAUUUGAUAGACUACAGUGGGUUUCAAAAUAGAAUAAUCCGCUAUAGCUGUUUCAUAUAUCAUUUCGGUUCAGUCAAAUUAAAGAACCAAAAUUGAAAUCACAAUUGGAUUCGAUUUGGAAACAUCUGAAAUACAAAAUUGAAACCACAAUCGAAUUAAAGAACAAAAAUUGUCAUCUCCUGAUGCAUCCCUGUUUCUAUUUGUGUUCGUGUUUGUGUCAAAAAUACAUCGUAAGAAUGUUAUAACAGUUGCAUACUUAAAGCGACGCCCUACUGAAUGUUACAAUAGAUGCAUACAAGACCGUCGCUAAUGUCAAUGUUUCUUCUUUUUGUUGGACUUUGAGUUGGAGCCAUGCUCAUUUUUAUGUCGCUUUUCCCCACUCUUGUGACUCUCUCUCUGUUUUCCUUUAUCCAUUUUGUUUCUACUUGAUUUCACGCUAACGAGACCACCAGCAGGUAGGUUUGCACCGCCAUUCUGUAAUGCAUUCUCAAAGUCUGCAUCUCUGUCCCCAAUCGCGUACUGUUGAAGCAACUUGGGAUCUAAUGACCCCUCCGAGUUGGAUCUCAUCCCAUCCUGUAUGUGCGUAGUCAAGUCAGCCCAACUCUUGGGAUUCAGAACGCGGGAAAGAGAGGCAGUUCAGGUAACACGAAGGUAAGGAAGGAAUAAAGCGUACCUCAACUUUUCUUGCAGCAUCAUUGAGAUCAUCAUCAACAGAGAUCUUGUGAGGUUCCAAGAGAGUCUGAACCAAAAUUUCCGAAUCAGAGUGGAGUUACAACAUAGGCAGAAGAAAAGCACAGUAGCAUACAUACACGCACGCACGCACAAUUAUAAUGUGAUAGACGAUGUUUAAGCUUGCAUUAAGAAACACAAUAAUGUAAACUUAGCGAUUACAUAUCAAACAAAAUAGUUCAGGUACCAAAGUGGCUCACGCGCAACACACAUGUCAAUAUCAUAUAGUUAAGCCAACUAGAAUCAUAAUGCAUCCUACGACAUGAAAUUAUUAGAAAGAGAUGGAAACCACCAACAUAUCAUGUACUUUCCAUAAGAAAAAAAAGGGUUACUGCUUUGCUGAACUUACUUCUUUUGGUUUAGGCAAGGUUGACACAAGGCCCUCAGAUGCAAUAGCGUAUAGAUAUUUGUGAAACUUUUUCAUAACUUUUAUAAACAGAGACAAUAUUUGCUGCCUUUCCAGUUUCAUCAACCCCUGGAAAACGUGAAUGUAAGUAAAAAUCUACACCUGAUAAGAAUGAAAUAAAGAGCAGAAAUGACGCCACCAAGUAGAGUGUUUUGUCUUUGCAAGUGGGUUUGAUUGCGUGCUCGCAUUGCAUCUAUGUGACUGGUAUAGCCAAGCAAACCAUAUGAGUAACAAGUAGAGAAACAAACCUCAAUAUAGGAGAUAUCUUGAUUCUGUAAGCCAAUGCAGAGCAAUAUGGAAGCCUGGGCACCUGUCAAUGUCACUGGAAGUUUCUCUUGGAAAUACAGAUGUGAAAGCGUUGGAACAAGAUCCAAAAUCUGUAAAAUAAAAGCAUAACUUUAACAUGUGUAAAGUUAUAAACAAACGAUAACUAGAGUACAAGAGGACCUCAGUUUAGAAAAUGACACUUAAUUUCAAAUUCAAAUGGACCCCAGGGUUUAAACUGUAAUUUUAAAAACAAUUCGCAGGUAAUUUGAAGAAAGUAAGGUCUGUUGGUUAAGGAUGAAAAUGCAAUAAGCCCUCGGAUCCCUCCUCCCCACUAUCAUCUAUGCCUAACAGGAGGAAGAACAUCUUGACACAUUCAAACUGGCAGCCUUUCCCAAAAAACAGAAGGAAGCAGAUAAUCCACUCAAACCAUAAUCAACAAAAAUGGACGACAUGCCAUUGACCAGGAUGCACUGCACCUUCCUGAGAACCGCACAACAAAUGGGUUCACCUCCCUCAGGGGCAUACCCACAAGGGGGUGGGAUUGGGUGGGAGGGGAAGAGAAGGGGUCUAAUAGCCUAAUCGCUGUUGAUUUCAUCUUUUUAUGUAACACAGAGCACGGGAUGAAACAUCGGCCACAGAAUCCUACACACAAAUUACUUGUAAAGUACACAAAUUCCCCUUCUCAAACAAGCAAUUUUGAACUUUUAAUGUGUAACUGAACAUAUAUAUACAUAUAAUUAGAUCAAUAACUAAACACAAUGUCCUAAUAGUUCACUUUUGAAAAAGAUUAUUCAUAAAACAUUGCAAGAGUAAUAUAUGUUCACAAUCAUGGUAUCAGAUUGUCCACAGUAAGAAAACAAAUAUUUCACCACUGUCAACUAAAAAUUGUAUCACAAUCACAAUCAUAUUGCCACACUGAGACGAUAAUUCUAUCACAAAGGAAUACAAUUUUUCUUUUGUAAUGCAAUAUUACUUUCUUUUUCUAAAGGAAAGCAUAUUUUGUCUUGUAACGCAAAUAUCUUUUUUGAUUCUAAGGGAAGUAUUUCUUGUUCUGUAAUGCAAACAUUACUUCUAUUUUUAAUAUGAAUGUAUGGAAUCAAUUAGUAAUCCUAAGAUAAAAAAAUCCCAAAACACUACAUAGCACUAUGACAGGGCAAGUUGGCAAUCAACCAUUGUUCAGAGAACUUACCAUAUGAAAGUCAGCAAGACUGCUGGUGUAGGCCUCCAGUCGCUUCAUAUCAUAAGGCGAAAGUAAGUCUGUGAUAGACCGUAAGAAUCCAUCUGUGGUAGACGAUUUGGGUUCUCCAUCCUUGUAAUUGAUCUUAGGAUCUAAGAUGCUGGAAAAUUAUUAGUUAGUACGAGCACUUGAACAAUAAGCAUUUAUCAGAAUGGAACUUUUAAUAGUACCUCAUAGCGAGCCUAUAAUCCAUUGUACGAAAACUAUAACCCAAUAGUCUCAAAAAUCUUCUCCUGAAAUCUAGGUAGCCAACAAAUAAUCAAGCUGUGAACUGAAAUACAAAAAAUCUGCACAAAUUUAAAUAGAACAAAGGUUUUCCAAAGAAAAAUGGGCCCACCUAGGUUGAAUGGACGAAAAUCACUGGUUUCAAGUUCAUCAUUCUUCAAAGAUUUGAGGACCAUACACGUAUGCUCCCCGGUCACACCACUCUAUUACAUUGAAAAGAAAAAUGAAAAAUUAUUGUUUAAUCAGUCAUUCAUUCACAAAUGAUAAUAUUCAAAAAAACAGUAAACGGAAAAAAGGAUUCAGUAUGGAGAGGGGAAUCCAUCUUAACUGGAAUAUGUCCAAUAUAGAAUGGAGCAAACUUAUGUUUCCACCAAAACCUGAAAAGGUCCAAGGUAAGCCCAAAGGAGACACCAAUAUAAUGGAGCUUCUCUGGUCGCCUUUCACGAAGAUGAACAAGCAAAUGAGGAAGAUCUGUUCUAGGUUUUAUACUUUCUUCCAGCAAUGAAACCUAUAAAUAAAAUAGACAUAGGUAUCAUUCCGAUAAACAAUAUCAAGGCACAGGCGGCAGGUUGAUUAAUACCAAACAAACAAACCAAUACAUGAUAAUAUACUUUGAUGUCAUUAUGAUUAAAAUUAACACAACAAAUGAUCAUUCACAAAAGUUUGUCAAAUUAUAUUCAAACACAGAAAUUGUUCUACAAUCACCGGAAUGAAGCUUAACCAACUCAAACACUUCGACAGAACAAGAAUUGCAUUACCAGAAACCUAUGAGUUACAAAAUUGCCUCCAAUUGCAAUAAUAAUACAUAGAAUAGUCUCGUAUAAGCAGUUCUCCAACCUAUUAAUUAAAAAUAUUUAUAAAAAAAAAAAAACUAAGCUUGGUGAUUGUAGUUCACCUUCUCAGCAGCUUCUGUGACUCUGAGUGGGGGAGUCUCAACAUCUUCAACGUCCAGUUCAGAAAUAGGAGCAAACUGUCCUUCGUAGUACCUGAGGAGAAAUAAACCCUUAACACCCAUUUUUUCAAAUAUAAAAACAUAAAUGUGAAGCAUCAACUUUUAGAACCAAAGAGAUUCAGUGCAAUUUUCAUGUCAAAACACUUUUAUCUCAAUAAUGAAGUACUUAUGAGUUACAUUGAUACAAGAGCAAUGCAUCCCACAUAUCACACACAUUCCUUAUAUCUGGAUCCCCAACAAUAGCAAUCCAAUGUCACCCACAUAGCACAUGAUACAUACCAGAGGUGUCCCUAGAAUGUCCACAUCAGCCAUUCCUUAUAUCUGUGUCCCCAAAAACAUUUGCAGUAAAAAGUACAUGGACUUAUGAGCACAAAGGGAUAACGGACAUGUAUGGGUUGACUUGAGAGAUAAACCAAGUAAAGUAAGUUCAAGAAAAAAUCUAGGACCAAAUAGGAUACAAGGUCAGAAUCAGUGUGACCCAUCUAAAAAGUUAGGACCCCACAUUAAUUUGUGCAGUCAACAACGAGGAUCCAUCUUUGGAUUAUUAUCCUAAAACGCUCUAUCUUUGGAUUAUAUCCUAAAGUGCUGCUGGUUAAGCUUGUUUCUGGUUUUUCUCUGUUGGAAAUUUCAAUUACUAACGAAAUAUCCAAUCUUCAUUUAAACAUACAGAUUUAAACUCAACUGUUGGCACUGCAGACUCUUGGCCAUUGUUGGGAUUGAAAUAAGCUAGAGUUUCUCAAGAUAAAUGCGGAUGAGGUGGGUUUUAUUUGAGAUAGCGAAUUCCAUGUGUUUGUGGAUUUAUUGCCAAAGCAAUUUGGGAAGAUCCCUGCUGUUUCCUCCAGAUGGAUGGGGUUAUAAUUUCAUUGUAACUUUUCUGAAGUAAGUUUUAGUUGGACUCCUUUUCUUUGCAAUGGACAACUUCUCCUCCUUUCCUUUAGAAAAUGCUUUGCUUUGCUGAAUUUUUCGUAACUCUUAGAAAUGUAACCCAAACUAAGAUGAAAACCCCCAACAUGACCGUAUUUUAAUAUGCUAUCACUUCUAAUCCUCUAUAUCUUUCCACUUGUUUCUCCAACUACCAUCAUAUGACUCGAGAGUUGUAUUGUGAGAAAGUCAUCUGUAUAUCAAAACUGAAAUCAAAUGAUCAUCUCUUCAGCACCCACAUGGUCUAUGUUCUAUAGCUUUCAACCCAAGUGAACUGAAAGCAUGAGACUCACAUUUUGAGUUGCGACUUUAUGUGCCUGAGCCAGGGUGCAUAUGCAUGAUUGCUUUUCAUUCAUUUUAGAAAUCAUUUGAAGCAUUGCUUCAGACAUAUAAUCUUCAAUCUUUUCACCUUUUUUUUUAUGACAAACAGUAGCGUUAGUGGGUUAAAAGUUUAUUUGUUAGGGGGAGGGGAAUCGAUGGGCAUCAAACCCGCACCAGGGUGCAUAUGCAUGAUUGCUUUUCAUUCAAAGUGUAGCAAUAUGGGGCUAAAAGAAUCACUCAGUCAAUCUUUCUCAACACCUUAGGCAUCCACAUACACAUUGGGAUCAUGUAUGUGAUCUACAAAAACGUUUAGGUGGGGAAUAACUCAAAGAGGAGCAUACCUUGUCAAUAGUUCCACUGCUUGUGAUCCAUAUCCAAUCUACAACAACGAAAAAUAAAUUACCAUUUCAACAGAUCCCUGGUUAUAGAUUACCAUUUCAACAAAAUCCUGGUUAUACAUAUUGCUUUGGAAACCAUAAUGAGAGAAUACCUUCAUGGCACUUGGAUGUGUAGCAAUUCGUACAAUCCGAGCACCUGAAAGACUGGGAAAAACUGUGUCCUGAAAUUGCUCACAGAAUUUCCAUGGUAUCUGGUCACCAGAAGGCUGAUGACCAUCACUUAAACUUUUCAUUGCAGAUUCACGAGAGAUCUUUCCCUCAAGGCAGACCUAAGAACAAAAUGAUAGCACAUAAAAUGUUGAGCAUCAAAGAAUUAGUGUUUUAUAGAAGAUGAAGUACGUGUUUAAAGUGUUGUCCUUUAUUGCUAUUUCACAUAAGGUAAAAUUAUAAAUAAAAAAACUAAUAAAAUUUUGGGUAUGCGUUAAAUAACUAAAAGAAAUAAUAGUCCUGAACUAGGGGAAGACAGUCAAACCUGAAUGACACACAAAAUAUCAGGAAGCUGAUUUUUUGACUCAUCAACAGGGCCUGCACGUGCAAAUUAUAAUCAAGUCCAGCCAAAUAGCGGCAAAAAAAGAAAGACCAGUUCUAACGUAACAUAUAUACCAAGUAGCACAAACAGGUGGUGAGCCGGGGCAUCAGCCAUUAGUUGCAAAUCAUUUGGAGAAUUUUUGUAGUGGGAGGCAACAUAUAGAGCCAUCAUCCGCUGCAAGUAUUAGAAUAUGUAAGUUCACUAAUAUGAAAAUGAGAAUCACUAGUCUGACAUUACUUGAACAUGUAAUUACCUGUAAGAACAACUCGCUAUCUUUAUGAUAUGAAAAAAGCGUAUCACAGUUUACGUAGUACAGAUCGCACUCACUGGGUGCAGGUAACCUAGCCGCCAAGAGAGAGAGAAGAGAGAGAGAGAUCAUUAAUAAAGGUAAGGGUUAUAAUGGAGAUGGUUACAUCUUCCUCGGUUCUGACUGUCUAAGCAAAUGUUUUUACCCGUUAAGUUUAGGGAUAUAAUUUGUGAUAUCCAAGCAAAGUAAACCAUGAAGCCAGGAUUCAAUCGGAUCACCAGAAGCAUAUCUGAUAGAUUCUUUCAAUUCUAUCUUUUUGAAAAGACGACCUACAAUCAGGGACAUUUAUCAAUUCAGAAAAUUAUGUCCAAAUAUCACAAAAUAGUUUUUAAAAAAUUAUACAUUGCUCACUUGCAAGCGCCAACAGUUCAAGUAUUUCAGAAACAAUAAUGUUAAGAGAAAGCAGAAGAAACAUUGAAUUUUGAAAAUAAAUUCAAGUUUUGGGGGGAAAGGGGGAUUUUGAUCCAACCUAAUUCAAGAUGAGAAUACAAAACACGGCCAAUAAGGAAUAAGCAUACCAGAUGUAGGCCCCUUAGCAGACACUUGGCUUUGCUCUUCCAAUUGCUGUAGAAGUUUUAGGGACAAAGACCGACCAGUACCUUCAUAGCUUUCAGUGUAAAAUAAAUGUCCUUUAGUAUUUAAAUUGCACUUAGAUUUUUUUUUUUUUACCAAAAGUUGAAUUCAGAGUUGACUUAUAAAUAGAAAGACAUCAAGCAUGAGUCAAGGAAAAGUGGAAACAGCCCAUGAAAAGUGAAAGAUCUUUCAUUCCCCCCCGCGGCCGUAACAGAAAGUGAAAAAGUGAAGUGAAAUAUGUUUCAUGAGACUGUUAAAACCAAAAAAGAACACAUGAUAAGAAUACACGACAUGAAGGAAGAAGAACAUGGAUGAAUCUUACCCAUUAACAGUAGAUGAAAGGAAGACCAGAUAAGGACCAAGCAAAGACUUCACUACUGGUAGUGGAAUAGCAGCUGCUUCAUCAACAACCAACAGUUCAACUUGGGAAAGCUUUUCAUGCUCAUGUGGCCGUAUAUACUGCAAGUACAAGUAACAAAAGUAAAAAACAAAUAGCCCCAAAAGCAAUGAGCAGUACAAAGUUCUUUCUUUUAGGCUACAUGAGGUGUAAAGGUCUAGACCACCUCACAAUCUCACAGGCAUGUUGAGUGCCUCUAUACCAUACAUACUGGAUUAGUGCCAGGAAGACACAUUAGGUUGACCAAAAAGUUUGGCGUUUCAGGAACAUGCUUUUAGAAGCAAGCUUCAGUAAUCACAAACCAUCUAAAUUAUGUUCAAUAUGCUCACACCAAUAACAAAAAUGAUGCACUUGGGCAAAAGUACAAUAGAAUUUUUGGAGUAGUCAAACAAAGACAACCACUAAUCAUAUAUGAGGGCAUACGACAUUUGAUGGGCAAAAGGUGAACACACUCAUGGCUAUUGUGAUGCGGCUAUCCAAUAGAAGAAUAUUCUCUAUUACAACUUGGUUAUCAACUUUUCAUGAGUAACAAUUCCUCCAUGUAUUUGUAUUUUGGUAUCAACUGACUAAACAAAAUCUUUAUUGCUAUUUUUUUAUAGAAAACGAGAUUUUAUUAAACAGCUAAAAAACAAUACAACACUUAGUGGACUAGGAAGUCCACCAUCAAAACGAAACAGCCCUGACAUAUGCCUCAACAUUCACCUCCAUCAUUAUAAAACAGAUCUGCAACUAUCUCACUGCAACUCCCCAAUCCAACAAAAUUACAUAAAAUGAAAGAUCCCAAAACCUUGGAGAGAGAGAAGCCAUAAGAAUGCCCAAUUCUUUCCCAAGAAUUCUCUUGUAAAUCCCCACUCUAAUUUUCAAAGGUUGCAAACUUGAAAUUAACAUAGAAGGUAACUGGCUUCAGAGUCAACUAGGAUAAUACUGGGCAUAUAUGCAGAGAGUAGGCAUAGUAGCAACUUUCAGGGUAUGGAAUAAUACAAAAGGAAAGGGAAGACCACAGAAUUCUCUCAGUCAUCUUAACUUGAUUUGGUACUAAGAAUAAGUUAUGUAUACACUUCCCACUGGCCCAUCUGUACGUUAAUAUAGAAAUAGAUUAUAUCCUGGCAACAAGGAAGUGAAAUACUCCUAUUUUUAUAUCAAUAUUGGGCACAAAUUAAGAGUUCAUCAAUAUAAUUUUACCUCAAUUGUAACCAACUGUGCAUAUAAGUUUACCUGAAUUGUUUGUCUGUGCUGCUUGUAUAUAUUGAUCUGUACAGUUGCUUUCUUCAACAAAGGGUCACUACUUUUCUGUACAUCAUAAUCUAUAUGUUCCUGCAAACAUAGUUUACAACUGUAAGCUCAAUAACUAGUGCACUGUUCGAAGUACAUGAUUGAAAAAUGAAGAAAACGGAGUGACCUUAUAACAAUUAAUGAAAGAUAAAAUGUAGUUCACAGAAUAAAACAUUCAAACACCACCAUCUUGAUAGUUAAACAAUUUCACUGUAAAAGCUAUUAAACUUAGCAGGAAAAAAAAUUUAAACUUUAUCUAACAUUUGAAUCUACAAUUUUCAAUUAGCAACUCUUGUCACAAAUGUUUAUUAGUGGGGUACGUUCUAAGAUAUUGUUAUUUGCUAAUUGUCGAGGAUUAUUUGGGAGUUAAAUCUCACAAGAAGGCGUAAAGAUCACAUUAGAAUUAGAUAUUUUACUAGGAAGCUAAAGAUCACAUUAGAACCACCCGCAGGAAUACAAAAAAACGACAUACCUUAUAGUCCAGUUGAUCAAAACCCUUGCAAACAAAUUCGAACAAGGUUCUUAAGUUCUCAGGGCUGGGUGCAGUUACAAAUAUAUUUGAAUACCUGUGAAGAUAUAUUUGUAUCGUCAAAACAUAGUACAUGAAUAUGAGUGUAGACAGCUACACAUACACCAAAACAGUUUUAAUACAUUGUAAAAGGCAUACUACCCUGCAGCAAUAGCUCCGGAAAUUGCCAAACCAAGUGCAGCCGAUUUUCCACGGCCUCGAGCAGCAAGCAAGGCAACAGUACUUCGGAGUGUCUUGUCCAAGAUUGCAUCAAGAAAUGUAGCAACAGCAUUUCCCUGUUGAAACAUUUACCAACUCAAACUAUGAGUCAUAUUAGUAAAUCACACAUGAUAGAAAAACUCAAAACUAAUACAAAUCAGAGAGAGUGCCUACCUGGUCCAACGUACAACAUUUCUUUAUUAAAGGGCCAACAGGAAAGGCAUCACUCAGCUGCUCUUUUAGAUCCUUCAGUUCCCUUUGUGACUCUGAUAUCCCUUCAGAGUCCUUCAAUCAUGAUCAGAAAACAAGAAAAAAGUUAUCAAAGUUAUCAAAGCUUCACAAACUCCUAGAAAGUAUCCUAAUAACCAUUCGGUAUACACACACUUGAAAAAUUACUUUUAUUCUUUUUGUCAUCUCGCAUAAGAUGCCACGAAAAUAAAGCAUUCCUCGAUUUAUCAGUUCCGUCCUAUAGAAAAGUUACAAGGCUAAAAGGUUACCUCUUUCACUGGAACUGGGGUAAUUGACCUCAUAUGAGAUGAAAUUGGUAAAAUAUUCAGCUCAUCAUCCAUUACUACACAUGAUUUGCAUGACGCAAGUGACAAUAAGAAACGCUCGUUAAAACGUCCAGUAGCCUUAGAAUGGGAUUCAGUUCGAAACCUAUCAUGAACAUCCUGAAAUCAAGAGGCGCUGAUAAGACUGUAUGGAGAUUUUUGCAUUUGAGAGAACGAGAAAGACAGUGUUGCAAAUAAAACAUGACAUAACGGAAUUGUUAUCAAAUAUAAUAUGUGGUGCAUGGCUAUUGCUAUAUUCGUUCUAAGUCCAUAAUGUAGUAAAACUAGAAACUACCUCAACAAGAAGAACAAAUAUUAUGAGGAAACCUAGUUGUUUUUUCUUCUUCUUUUUGGGGCUAGAACAUGAAAAGAAACAACUAGUCUACAUAGGCCCAACUGGGAAACUUAUAUGUUCAGCAGCAUUCUCUUAAAGAAAGUCAAGCAAUUGAAUCUACCAAAAGUCUUCUUGUAGCCAAGCACAUCAUUACGAAAAAAUUCGGAAACUUUUAACAUGGCUAGUUUUCAAGAUUUUGCGGUAUAUAAUAAGCAUAACCAUGCUGGCCUAAAAACUAAGCAUUAAUUGUGUGCAUGCGUAAGAGAAAGAGGUAUUAUUAUAUGCAUACCAUAACCAUGGUGUAGAGGUUGGUGAGUGAGGUUAGAGAAUGAAGCAACAAUAUGACUAGUCCACCUCCCUCCACUGUCUCUAUCGUUCUUGCUAGUAGAUUUGGAGUCAAGGCCUCAAAAUCCUAAUGCAGGAGAUCAAACUUAGUCAUAAAACUUAAAUCAAUUAUACAAGGGGUCUUGGCCAAACCAGUAAAUUUGUAAGUUUCAAGUUACCUGAAGUAUACACAUUCCAAAGGUAUUACCAAGAACUCUUUCUGAAUCCUUGUACAAGCAAUAAGUCAAUCCCCCACUUUCAACAAAAAGUGAGAAAGGAUCAACCUUCUCGGGAUCAAGCAGCCCCCUCUGCAUCAUCUUUUUUACUUGCUUAGCACGUUUUUUCUUGUGACUGCAUCAUGAAGUAGUCAAACGCAACGAAUCAAUAUAUUUUAAAAACGAAAUUCCGCCUUGCCUUAUAAUAAGGUGAAGAAUGGAAGGUAGAAGAAAUCAACCUGCUGAGCUCGAGCUUGUCCUUGUAGCACCACAACACAGUCGGGCGCGAUUUCUUUACUUCAUUGCUUAGCAUAUAAUGAAGAUUCACAAUCUGAAGACCAUAUAAAACUCCAUAUUAGCCAUUUUCCGUUAGUUUUCGAUAGAUUUUCGAUGAUAUUUCUUACCUUGUUUGAGGUUUUUAGUGUUACUCGGUGAGUAUUGCAGGUGAAAACAAGAAACAGUAAAACUGGUAAAAUUUUCUACCCAAUUCAAUUUAAAUCAUUGUUAUAACUCCUCAAAUUGAAUAGGAAUAGCAAAUAGGGAAUGGGAUAGGAAAGGCAGAAGAAAUUAGGAGUACCUGGUCACGGGAUUUGUCGCCGACGAUGACGAACAUGGAGCGGUGCCGGUUUUUGACGCCAUUGCUUAUUAGGGUUCGGAUUCGUUCGUCCACCUUCUUCCUCAUUCUCUCUCUCUCUUCUCUCUCUGUGCAAUUAGGUUUAGGGUUUAUACCAUAGGGCAGUUGUCGUCGUCGGGCAGGGUUUAAGCCGAACUAGUGAGAGAGAGACUAGACAUCGCGGAGAGAUAUUGAGUUCAUCUCAACCGUUGAUUGGCUAUCUGAUGGCUGUUAUCAAAGCUGACAUAAAAAUGAAAACUCAACACGUGGCCAAGUAUUUUUUUUCUCUCUUUUUUGGCUUAUUUAUUGAUUUGCCCCAGAAAUUAUUUUUUUUGUCUUACUCUAGGUCAUGAAACAGAAUUUAUCUUACUUUAUCUUCUAAAACUACCAAAAUCGAGUCAUUUCACCCAUGUUUUGUCAAUUCUAUCUCAUAAACGUUAAAUAAAAGGGAGUCUAAACAUUUCAUACCAUGCUAGCAAAGAUGAGCCACUGUUGUUGGUGAGGUACGAAAUUUUCAAACUUUCCUAAACCUUUAAAACUUAAAAGGUAUCUUGAAUAUGAACGUAAAUGAGGUAAAGUUGCUCAAUUUUGGCAAUUUAUGAAGGGUAAAAUGAGACAAAUUCAAUUUAAGGCUAAAGUGAGAGUAAAUGGCAGUUUCAUGAGAUAUAUCAAUAAAUAAAUCUUUUCUAGAAUACAACUAAAUUAUGUACUCACGGUAAAAGAUAAAUUAAUAUCGAACUUGUCAUUGACGAUAUCUAAACAUAAAACCUUUCAAGUUUUUACCUAUAAGAAUAAAUUUGGUAUAGUAAUUUCUUUUCUAAUUUAAAGUUUCCCAUAGAGUUAUGACGAAUUUGAUACCAAAUUAGGCUGUCAUUGUGUGGCAUAGCCGAAUUCCUCCUCCCUUACUUUAAAAAUAACGAUGUACUCAAAAAAAGUUUCCCAUAGAGUUAAAAUGAUCUUUAGUUGCUUGCUGAGACAACCCAUAUGUAUAAUAAGACAUUGAAAAAGGUGCCUCUGUCAUUUACACUCACACGAUCGAAUAAGUAGCUCCGACAGUUGCAUCAUAAAAUUAAGGGGUUUUCCGAGAUUGUAGUAAGGUUGACGAUUAAAGUUUGGGAAAUUUUCAGGUUAAGGAAUCAAGGGAUCACAUUUUCAAGUUUCGUAGGCAUUCUCUUUCCUUUGGAAUGGUGUUGGAAUCCGUCCUGAAGUUGCCCAUUCCUUUGCUCUUGAUUUUCAGAGUUGGAUAGCUAUAAACCUUAGGACACAUUGUACCACCAUACAUGGUUUACCUUGGAACCUUAUCUUUAAUUCAACUCUCUGGCAUUGCUGGAAAUGGAGGAAUAACUUUGUCUUCAAUGAUGGCCAACAACCGCUUGACUCACCCCAGAAUUUCAUUUUUCAAUUUGCAAGGGAAUGGUGUGAUGCGAACAAGUGUUCUUCUAGUAAGCCUCCUAGACAAAAUCAUCUCAAUCCAUUGGAUUCGUUUGCCAAUUGGUAUACAAAAUCAAUACAGAUGGGAGUUGUAAAGACCCAUUUAGCCACAUAAGUGCUGGAGGUUUGCUUCGUAAUUCUGAAGGGAAAUGGAUUAAGGGAUUUGCUGCUAAUUUGGGCAGAGGAACCAUCAUGGAAGGUGAGCUUUAAGGGUGGUUUCAUGGGACUUUCUAUAGGUUGGGAUGAGAGUUGCAAGGAAGUGAUUAUUGAAUGUGAUUCUUAUGCUGCUGUUACUUUGAUCCAACAACCUAUUUUAGUUCCCACUCUACAAUCUCAUUAUUGACUGCAAAGAAGCCAUUGAAAGAAAUUGAAGAUGUGAAGUUACUCAUAUCUAUAGAGAAAAUAAUGUCUUAGCUAAUCACACGUCUGACUUAGGUCAUGGGUUAUCACUUGGUCUUCAUGUUUUUGCUUCUCCUUCUACCAUUGCUACUAAUUUUAUAGUUUCUAAUACUAUUGGCAGGGCCCUCCCUAGAGCUGUUUUUUAGUAGCUUUUUUGUUUUGCUUGUUGGGCUUUGCCCUCUUCUGUACCCAAAAAAAAAAAAAAAAAAAAAAAUAUUGGGAAAUUUAUUUGGACCCAACUUUUUUAUCUCUACACCCAAAUAAUAUUUUCUCUUAUCUAAUCUUCCAAAUUUGUCCUUAAAUAACAAACAUUGAAGUUUUCUUUGUAUCUCUACACCCAAACCCCACGAUCCACCACUGUAGGGCGCUCCAUUAUUUCCGACAAACCCAACUCAAACGCCAGCAACACUAAAAUCGACAAAUCAAGACUGGAGAACAAAUGGUGUAGGAGUCCUAAUGUGAAUAUUAAAGCAAACUUAAGUUGCAAAACCCUUUUUUAUUUCAAUCGAUGAAAGGACCUUGGGUUAUGAACAUAAGGAACCUAUUAGGGUUUAGAGGUCCCCUCCACAUCAUAUGCAUAAGCCCUUUUUCUUCAUUCAUUAAUUUACGGAAGGGAAAAUUAAUACUAUUAUUCUCAUAAAAAGUGGGAAUACCAAGGAAAGAGAUCCUCUCCACACCAUAUAUUUUUCUUUUCUGAGUAGUUAUAUCCAAUGGAGAGAGGAAAACAAGAGCACCAAUGGUCGCAGGUUCACCGGAGAAAAUGAAGGUGCAGUGGUGAUGUGAGUUUAGGGUUAUUGGGUGUAAAGAUAACAACUUUAAUAUUUAUUUUCUCAUUUUUAUUUAUUUAAGGGCAAAUUUGAAAGUUUAGUAGAGAAAAUUUGUUAGUUGGGUGUAGAGAUAAAAAGGUUGGGUCCAACAAAAUUUCUCAUAAAGUUUAAUCACGCGAUUAAGUUCUUGUGCAAUGAGUAAAUUGUAGCAAUGACCCAUCAACUAAAAAUCCAUUAUUAUUGAUCCCUCAACUCAUCAAAAUAUGUAGUUAUGGUCAUUUUCGUCAACUUUGUAAGAAUUUUGUCAAAAUAAAUUAUGUUGGAAGGACCAUUGUUACAAUUAAGGUCCUUCAACUCAUCAAAACAUGUAGCUAUGGUCAUUUUCGUCAACUUUGUCAAAAUGAGUUAUGUUGGCAUGACCAUUAUUGCAAUUGGGUUAAAGUUGAGGAAUCAUUGCUCCAAUUGGGUUAAAGUUGAGGGAUCAUUUCUCUAGUUAGAUUAAAGUUGGGGGACCAAUGAUAAUUAAGUUUUAGUUAAGGGAUCAUAGUUGCACGUUUUGAUGAGUUGAGAGAUCAAUGAUAAUGAAUUUUUAGUUAAUGGAUCAUUACUCCAAUUGAGUUAAAAAUAAAGGACCAUUGCUACAAUUUACUCUUGUGCAAUAGAAGAUUAAUUUGGCCGAACAACCUGAUUAAGGUGCCUACUUUCUCUUUAAUUCAUUGGUAUCAUUUAUUUUCCCUUAAGCUGAAUUAUGCUCAAUUUAUGUAUCAAUAUUGUAAAGUUGUCUUUGUUAGAGUAAUUUGGACAAUAUAAAUUGAAAAUUAUUUGUGUAUAUGGAAAAGAUUAACCUCAGGGGUCACUUCGCCGGACUCCGUAGCAAUCUCCACCACUCCAAUCGUAAUGGUGAGUAAAUCACUUGUGUUUGUUUCCAUUUUUUCAAUUGGAAAUUGGGGGUUUUGAAUUCAUAUUUUGUCAAUUGGUUUUGUGAGCACUGAGAAUACACUACGAGCUUGUGUGUGUGUACAAUAUGUUGGAUUUGAUCUUUAUAAAGAAUGCGAGAAAUUGGGGUUAGGAAAGAGAAGAAAAGGAAACAGAACUCGAACUUCGAUCUUCAUUCUUGUUACUAAAGGAGAAAACCGAAUUUGAACCGGUUCAUACGUAAUCGAACCGAAUUUGUAUAGUUCGGUUCACCCCUUAGUACCGAACCGUACCAUACCAAAAAAAAUUUCUUGAGUUUGGUUUUGAUACAUCCCUCAUACUGUACCAUACCAAAUCGUGGCCAGACCUACUGAAUACAAAACUUAUAUCUGGGUCGUAAGUCGUAAGGCCUCCAAAAAAAAAGUUCAUAUUAUUCAUACCAAUCGGACAAAUCCCGCACCCAAAAACAAUGGCUAGAUAGAAAGUUCAAUUAUAGAUUAGGUAAUCUAUCCUUUUCAACUUAAAUGCACAUUCAUGAUGGUUAUGCAAAUCAUAUUAUGUUAACAAAUGCAACAAUUAAUUAUAUUUAUCCAUUUGGAAUGAUAUAUAUUUUCAAAGAUGGAAUUACAGACCCCGUUGACGUUGAGGCCAUUGCAUGAGAGAAUUUUAGAUGAUUUUCAAUUAAUUUAUAUUAUUGUUGUGAUAACCAUAAUAAUUAUUUUCUAAAUGUAAAACUAUAUUAAUGAAAUUUUCUUUGUCGGUCAAAAGAAGAUGAAAAGAUAUCUUUAUCUUCUAUCACAACAAAAAAAUUAAGGAUAUUAAUGUAAUAGGCUAAUAGCGAUGGGGUGAAGAAAUGGAACUAUCCUAAAUAGGCAGUUGCUGGUUAUAUUGGAUCAGGUGGUCUGAAUGAUUGGAUAAUUAGCAAAUAAAAAGGUUCCAUUUUUCAUGGACCCUCAAGUGGAAAUAUGGGAUAAAAGAUGGCAUAUACCAUUUUAUCCAUUUGUGAUUGUACAUUUUGAUGGUUGUGAUUUCACCCGAUGGCGCGGCAAGUGUGGAUUGGGAUAAGGAUGGUUUUGGUCUAUCAUCAAAGAUGGUUUGAUGUUCACGACUGGAUUUUACAACGCAUCCAAGUGCAUGGGUUCUAUAAAUACAGAGUUGCGCACAAUAAAAAAGUACAAAGGACCUUCAAACCUUUCACACACUCUGAGAAACUCCUGAUUCUCCCAACUUCGUCAACACAUCUUCAAUUUGGAUUAACAUCACUGUUUGUCAGUGAGGAGUCCUUAGUCUUCUCGUCUCAUUAGCCCUCUAGGUGAAGUGAGGUGUUACUGAAUUACUUGAGUAUUCAGCACAUUGAAAGUCGAACCUUAUUUGAACUUCACAGUAGUUAGCAAUCUUAUCUUCAGGUUUUAGAACCCAAUGCCAAGACAUAUUCCUUCCUCGACAGUGAUGGUUUGUACACAAAAGUUGGUUUGUACACAUAAGUCAGUAUUGUGUUUGACACACCAUCCCAUUCAUUCUACUAGCCCACAAACGCGUGGACUCGUCCAAAAUUACCCCACUCUCGGCCCGUUCACUUGCCCACUCGUCCCACGCGGCCCGUGAGUCUUCAGUGCCUGAUAGGGGGGCCUACUGUUAGGGCCGUUGUUGGCCACAACCCAGAGCCCAACGAUUUUUUUUUGCAUCCCACGACUGGCAUUUUUGGACCGUUGGUUGAUCCAACGGUCCAGAUUCAAAUUUUGUUUUUUUAAAUGUUAUUUUAAAAUACAUUGAAUCCAACGGCUGAGAUCGAAUAUAAUCAAAUCUAACGGUAAAAUAAAAAAAGAUAAAAAAAGAUAUAACAGUCCAAAUUUAAAUCCAACAGCUAAAAUAAUUUUAAAAAAAAUUAUUUAACUCAAAAUUCACCCAAAAACUCUAUAAAUACCUUUGUAUUUGUUCAAACAUCCACACAAAACUCAAUUUUCUCCCACAAUUCUUCCAUUUUUUCUUUCUACCAUUUCUUUCCAUUUCCAAAUUGUUCAACACGAUCCUUGAAUUGGCCAUCCCAAGCAGUAAGACAAUUCUUCCACUCCCAAAGCAUACAAUCGAGACUUCCUAUCAUGUCAGGAAAGCCUAUUUUGUCUGCUUUGAGUAGAAUGUGACGACAUGUCCCGAAUUAUUAUAUAUUUUUCUCCCUAAGUGUGUAAAGUGACGGUAAUGCCCUCGUGAUUUAGUGACGUGGAUGUACAUAUGUAGUUUUAAAUUAUUAUUUCUAUUGUCGUAGUUAAAUUGUACUCGACGCCAUGAGUGUGUUGAUGUGACCUAGGGCUAAAACAAAUUCGUAACGAAGAAGUUACGAACAGACGAGUGUGUAAAUGCGUAGAAAUAUAUUUUUAUGGGUUGGCUAUACCUUACCCACCAAUCACCUUAAUUCCUGAUUUCUUUGGCCUAAUUGAAUUAAAAAUAUCUCUCAUUUUUCCUUCUGCCCAAUCACGCACAUACACACCAUCACUCUCUCUCUUCUCUCGGACCUUCUUCUUCUUUCUUCUCAUUCCGUACACCCGAGCCACCCUUACCUCACAAUCAUCAUCAAAACAUUAUGGAUCGAAUUGGAAAUCACUACCAUCGCAGUCACCUCGAUCCCACGAACUCAUUGAUACCCUUAGGUCGAGGAAUAGACGUCGGGAAUUCGAGAACUCGGGAGCUCUGGCGAGGUGUAUUUUUCUACUUUGUGAUCGUGGUCUUUUUCUAUGGUUUAAAGGCUUGAGGUGGGUCCUAAUCAACUUUAUAGGGACCCUAGAUUAGUUUUGGAGCAGUUUGAACGUUGGAAUAGGUGAGAACAUGGAGUUGCAGGUUGGCCGGUUGAUCCAAGCCUUACUCCGACCACUUUCUGUCGGUUUUAGAACCUCAAGUAGGUAAGAUUGUAUUCUUCUAGUUGAGAGUUUCAAAUCCAUAUAAAAUUCAUGGAAUUUGGUUGAAAAAUGAUGAAGAUAUUAAAGUUUUAAGAUUUUUCCAAAAAUCAGCGACACAAACGGCGCCCGACGGCCAGCGAUGGAUUCCGACAAAGCCAUCGGAGAAGGAGGAGAAUAUUAUGUCUAACUUUGACAGAAUAUACUAACAGCGUCAGGUAACUCUAUUAGUUUUUAAACAAAAUAUUCUACUAUUUAAUGAAAUAUUCCCUAACGCCGUUAGGGAUUCCGUGCCUGCACGUGCCGGCUUAUGAGGGCGCGUGAGACGUCAGGAAAUUAAUCUAAAAAUAUUGGGGUGUUCGAGUUGUUGAGUAGGUCAUGUUGGUAUAUUCAAACACCCUAUUUGAGCAACGUAUGAGAAGUUAUUCCUAGGGUUUGUGUAUGUGCCUUAAAAUUAAUGUAAAAUUAGUUAUUUCGCAUAUAGGUGAGACUUACCCGGAGGACAAACGUGGUCAAACGAGACUUGGGGGCUACGAUCCUACUACUUACCAGUGAGCGGGCUUUUUUUUUCUAUAUAUAUGUAAAUAUGCUUAUGAAUCCCAUAAACUACUUUAAAUGAACGUAUGUUUUAAAUGCCAUGUCGUGUGCAUUAUGUGUUAGUAUUGCAUUAGUAUAGCUAUGCAUAGUAUUGGAUGAGACUGCGCAGACUCAGGUAAGUUUCAGGUGAGUACAUCAUGAUGGUAUUGGGUGCGUGUGUGUGGUUAUACGUUGAUGCAUUUUGAGCUUAUUAUCCUGCACAUUGGUGUUAGUGUUCUCGCCCAUGGCCAGGGCAUAGUUUUUCACAUGAUGUUCACCUCCUGGGCCGCACGCUCACUUUGGAUCCAAGUUUGGUGCACAGCCAUAUUGCACAGACCACAAUAGGUGGUUCCGACUCGUAGGUGACCUGCAAUUAUUUGCACAGCCUUCACGUGAUCGUAGCACUUAAGCGUACUUAUCUACACCCAGCCCUGUUGUACAGACCACAAUAGGUGGUUCCGACUUAUGUGCAUGCAUACUUGAUGAGCUAUAGAUUCAAUUGUACAGGUUACAUUAGGUGACUCCGGUUGGCAUACUAUUUUAGGUUGAUUCGUAUCACCUGGCUUACACAUUUUAUGGUUGAACAUCUUGACAUGGCAUACCUCUGUUUUCACUGCUCUAAGCAUUAUCCUUAUGUACCUAGUUGUUAUUAUUUUCUGGAAAAUUAUAUGGGUUUACAGUGAGGGGUUAGUAUGUUCAUAAAGACAACUGUGUUUUCAAAAACUUUGUUUUUGCCUACUCACAUUUUUUGUUUUGCACCCUUUCAGGUUCUAGGUAGUUGGUCAUCCUUGGUGGCUCACGAGGACUUUCACGGCGGUUCUGACAUCUCUGUAAAUAAGUAGGGAUUUUUUUCCCUGUUUGUAUAAUUAGUACUUAGUUGGUUCGAUUGCACUUUCGUUUACCCAUGCUCUGAUAUUUGUAUAACUUGCUUGGUCAUCUUUACUCACUUAUAUUAUCUUAGUUUAGAUAAGUUUGGUUUUAGGUUUUUAUUUAUUCGCAUUUCUUUUAUUAUUACUUCUGUUGCGCAUUUUGGCUACGUUACUCUUACGUGACGGGCAUCAUGUUUCGACUUCGGUUGGGGUGUGUCAUAAAAGCCUCUUCAAGUCUUCAUGAUUUGGCUUGCAGAGAUAUGUGGCUCCAUAUGUGGCCUGAAUUGCCCCACAGAAGCGCUCCAGGUUUUUAAUAGCAGUAGUCUCCGCAAGUCGGCAAUACUCAUCAGUUGAGUUUGCAGAGCACUCAUUAGCUAGCAUCCGAAAUGCAGAUGUGAGCUUCUGAUGAGGUGAUAGACUUUGUCGGCCUACGACAUUUAUCUUCCUUGCAAAGUAGUGGUCAUGAUUGACAACUGUGUUCAAGAUGCUUUCAAAAAUCUCUCUCCUCAUUCGAAACCGUCUCCGAAAAUCAUGAGCAGGAAAUCUCGGACGCUCAAUAAAAUAAUAUUUCAUCAUUCGGUCAUGACACUCUUCUCUAUCACGUUGCACAAAUGAACGCUUCGUGACAUAACCACAAUAGCUAGAUUCGACAUGGUGCUCAUAUUGCAUAAGCGAGUUUGGAAGUUUAGCUUAUGCGUUGAUCAUUUUUGAAUCCUCAAUGUCAAGGCUUGCUUGGUAUUAUGUCAUUUGCAUUGCCCUGCUACACCUUCUUCUAUCAUCCAUUGUUGAUAUAUUGAGGAUUUUUAUGAAACAAAAACACUUUGAAAGUUGAAAGAUUAGUGAAUAUAGGGAAUGAUUGAAGGUUGAAAGAUUGUGUGACCAACUGAUAUUGAACAUGUGUUUAUAUAGAGGAUGAUUGAUGAAAGUUGAAAGUUUGGUGAAAGUUGAACGGUUGGUGAAAGUUGAAGAUUUGUGAAAGUUAAAGACUUGCUUUGUGGAAAGAUUUAGUGAUUUUUUCAAUAUUUAUUGGAAUUUAAAUAUUUUUAUAUUAAAAUGUUCAUAAAAUUAAUUUACCAUAGGCUACAUAAUUUUUUUUAAAAGUUAAUUUAAGAAAAAAAAUUAGCCUAAGUUCAUUCUUUAAUAAUCCCGAACUAAAAUUUUAGGCUAGGGUUGGAGCAGAAAAACUGUUUCUGUGUUAAAAGCUAAAUUUUUUAGAUUAAAAAUUUUAAAUUUUAACCCAAAGGUUGGAGAUGAUUUAAGAAUGGAUAAACUUAACCAAGAAAAGAAGAAAAAAGAUGAAGGGCAAAUAAGUGAGAAGCAACAUGACACGACACACGGACGACCAUAGCAAUAAAGCGUGCGUCCUCACGUCCAUUGAAUAUAUAGAUGGGAGCUACAACAUCGUGUUUCACGUGCAUGUGUAUUAUACAUAAAGGCAUAUACAGUGUUAGCUUAUAUAUUAUAAAGUUUGUAGGCCACUUACCCAAUUUGGCAUAUGUUUUAUCUUUUUACGUGAAUAACCAAUGUGUUAUGAUGAUACAAGUCUCUUAACAUAUCCGGAGUUAGAAAUAUCAUAAGACAGUGUUGCGAUCAUAUUGAAAUUAAUUGACAGUUUGUAUUAUAUAUUUGAUUAUUCUUUAUUAACUUAAGGAGACAGCAUACUUAGACCUAAUUUAGUCACAUUCUCCAACCGAAAAUAAAGCGGUGUAGUAUUCAUACACUUUUUUUUAUUUCUUACACAGUCUUAAUUAAUUUCUAUUGUUUGAUCUUCUUCAAUUCAUUCGAUCUGACGACCGAAAAUUAAGAUGGUGUGUGGACGAGUAAAUUAUAACAAUGGUCCCUCAACUUUAAUCAAAUUGGAGCAAGGGUGCUCAACUAAAAAUCCAUUACCAUUGGUUCCUCAACUCAUCAAAAUGUGUAGCUAUGGUCAUUUUCGUCAACUUCGUUACAAUUUUGUCAAAAUAAGUUAUAUUGGAAUGACUAUUGCUACAAUUGGGGUCCCUCAACUCAUCAAAACGUGUAGCUAUGGUCAUUUUCAUCAAUUUCGUUAGAAUUUUAUCAAAAUGAGUUUUGUUGGAAUGACCAUUGCUACAAUUGAAUUAAAGUUGAGGGACUAUUAUUUCAAUUGAGUUAAAGUUGAAAGAUCAUUUCUUCAGUUGUAUUAAAGUUGAAGGAUCAAUGGUAAUGAAUUUUUAGUUGAGGGGACUAUAGCUGCACGUUUUAAUGAGUUGAGAGAACAAUAAUAAUGAAUUUUUAGUUGAAAAACUAUUACUUCAAUUGAGUUAAAAUUAAGAAACAAUUGCUACAAUUUUUUUAUAUGGAAAGUGGAUGAUGUGAAUAGCACAUCCAAAAAUAAAAGGGAACUUUAACGAAAAGCACCCGGUACUGUUCACUUUAACGAAAAACCACAUUUUUACACUAAAAAGUCAAUCCUGGUACUAUUCACUUUACCCUUUAUUUUGUCCUUAUCAUUAAAACUCAAAGUUUUCAAGCCCUUUUCAUUAGUUUUCCUAAAAUAAAAUGCACCACAAUUUGGUAGGAUCUUCCUGUUGAGAGUAAUAAAUUAAUAAUUGCCGAAAUAUUGGAUAAUUUGUCGGCCACAACGCUAUGAGGGAGUAUCUGGGGAUGAAUAUACUCUUGCCGACAGAUGCCCAAAUUCCAACUGCCAUUCAAAUGAGCCCUCCACCACCACCGGCCAUAAUAAAUUCUCUUUCUUUAGUGAAGAAGAAAAAGAGGUACUUGGCCCUCACCUCAACUUUUUGAGAAAGAACAAGUUUAUCGCUAUCAGAAUGUUUCGGUCAAUUAUAUAAGUUAUGUGUAAAUUUUUCUUUAGAUAACAUUACAUUAUUAUAUUUAAAAUGUUCCGUAACGAUAAAUUUGUUUCAUACAAAUUAUUCUCCAACUUCUUGGAUUUUUCUCCUUUUUCCCGAAAACCAGCUUAUAUUAGUGUUCAUCCUCUGUCAAUAUCACUCGCCCACAACUAUUCAACUAACUUUUAAUAAUUUGACAACGUGUCAUAUUUUUGUGCAAAGCGGGCCCAUUUUUGUGGGUGAUAUAAUAAUGGCGUAUGUGGUUUGUCAAGACAUAUACUCAUUUAUCCAUUAGCAGUUAGGUAAGUCACCUCACUCACCCACAGCCUAACACAUCAACAAAUAUUGCUUACAAAUUCUAGAAAAUUCGACCAAGAAAAAAAACCAAAUGCUCGCAAAUUAAAAUUGUGUAACAUGAUUAGUUUUUUAUCCAUUAGUAUUAAUUUUACGUUGGAAGAAAUUCCAAAUUUAUUCUUGUAAAGAGGGAUAUGAAAAUACUUUGUAUGUCUAUCACCAAAAUCUUCGAAUGUUUGAAUGGUUGAUUUUCAAGUCUCACACAAUUGGAUUUAGUUCAAGUGAGAAAGAAAUACACUCAAACUAUUAGAUAUGAGGAAUGAAAAUACACUACAAAAUCUUGUGAACAUUUCUAAUAUUCUCUUCUAUCUACUUUUUGUGAACCAAGUUUUUAUUUGUUUUUUUUUUUAACAAAAGAUAUUUUUUAUACUAGGGAAAUAAGGUGGGUUUAGCCUCAUAAUGGGCUAACAUAAUCUAGUUCAAACUUGCAUUUGGUGAGAAUCGAACCUAAAAUCUCUCACUUACAAGUGAAGAGGAAUACCAUUAGAAGUGUCAUGAAAUUAGCAGUCUUAUAUGUAAAAAAUUGAUUGACUAAAUGCUGUGUUAAAAAACAAGAUUAAUACUUGCAUCUCCCCACUUGGAAAAUGCAAAUAUUUCAUUUCUUGCAAAUAACGUAUAUCAUGCGUUCUGUUCAAUCGCAUAUUCAAAAAUGUUAAAAACAAGAUUAAUAUUUCUAUCUCCCCACUUGGAAAAUGCAGUAUUUCAUUUUUUACGAAUAACGUAUAUCCUGUGUUCCGUCCAAUCGCGUAUUAAAAAAAUGUGUGAAGUUUGGAUUAACUACACUCUUUGAGAAUUUCCUUAAAUAACCACUUUUUGAAAAUUUCUUAUAGGACUAAGUGAGUCUCCGCUGAGAAUUUCCUUAACUAACACAACACUACUUGAGUGAUAAUUUGUUAUAUCUUGAAUAGAGAAUAAAUCAGUUCCCUACUUUUGAAGGUACUAUUAACUUACACUAUAUUUGAAUGAGAACAAUAAACUUAGAAUUUAGAUGAAGGAAAUAAAACAGUUUCCUACUUUUGAAGGUACUACUCGAGUGAUAAUUUGUUAUAUCUUGAUAACGUGUCAUAUUUUUUUGCUAAGCGGACCCAUUUUUGUGGGGUGGUAUAAUAAUGGCGUUUGUUGUUUGUCAAGGGCAUAUACCCAUUUAUCCAUUAGCAGUUAGGUCACCUCACUCACCCACAACCUAGUACAUCAACAAAUAUUGCUUACAAAUUCUAGAAAAUUCAACCAAGAGAAAGAAAACCAAAUGCUCGCAAAUUAAUCUGUGUAACAUUAGUUUUUAUCCAUUAGUAUUUAUUUUACAUUGGAAGAAAUUCCAAAUUUAAUCUCGUAAAGAGGGAUAUGAAAAUACUUUGUAUAUCUAUUAUCAAAAUCUUUGAAUGUUUGAAUGAUUGAUCAUCAAGUCUCACACGAUUGAAUUUAGUUCAAGUGAGGAAGAAAUACACACAAACUAUUAUAUAUGAGGAUUGAAAAAUACACUACAAAAUCUUGUGAUAACAUUUCUAAUAUUCCUUUCUAUCUACAUUUUGUGAUAAGUUUUUUUUUUCCUUUUUUGAACAAACUAUAUUUAUCUACAUUAAGGGAGAGGAGGUGAUCUUAGCCUCACAAUGGGCUAGCAUAAUGUGGUUCAAAUUCGCCUUUGGCGAUAAUCGAACCUAAAACUUAUCAUUUACAAGUAAAUAGGAAUACCACUAGAUGGAUCAUGAAAUUAGCAGUCUUAUAGGUAAAAAAAAAUUGAUCGACUAAAUGAUGUGUUAAAAAACAAGAUUAAUACUUGCAUCUCUCCACUUGAAAAAUGUAGAUAUUUCUGUGAACACGGAAAAUUCCUGAAACGAAAGAGACAAGAACAACGUGCACAAAAUAAUAUUUUGGUGUUAAUGGAUUUGUUGGGUUACGAUCUCUUUUAACUUGAUCCUCUGAUUCGAUCUCCGUAAGGUGUUGAUUUAUGGAUGUUUCGUUGAUCCAAGGGCUGUUGAGGCUUGAUCUUAGAUGAACUGUUGGAAGUUUCUUCAAGGGGCCGUGGGCUUGAUCUUUGAAGGUGGAUUUGAGCGGAUCUUCAAGGAGCCGUUGGGGCUUGAUCUUGAGGAUGAGUGUUUCUUCAAGGGCCGUUAAGGCUUGAUCUUGAAUAACGGUGAUGAACGGAUCUUCAAGGGCUUUUGGGCUUGAUCUUGAAGAACGGUUGGAUGUGUGGAUUUGUUGAUGUUGUUGAUCCAAGGGCCGUCGGAGCUUGAUCUUGGAAGAACGAUGAACGAAGAACGAAGAACACUUUCUUCAAAGGCCGUCGGGGCUUGAUCUUGAAUUGGUGAUUGUUGAUCCAAGGGCCGUCGGGGCUUGAUCUUGGAAGAACGAUGAACGAAGAACGAAGAACACUUUCUUCAAGGGCUGUCGGGGCUUGAUCUUGAAUUGGUGAUUGUUAAUCCAAGGGCCGUCGGGGCUUGAUCUUGAUUCUUCGGGAUGAACGGAUGAUGAACAAUGAACACUUUCUUCAAGGGCCGUCGGGGCUUGAUCUUGAAUUGGUGGAAGUUCUUCAAGGGCCUUUGGGGCUUGAUCUUGAAGGUGGAUGAUUGUUGAUCCAAGGGCCGUCGGGGCUUGAUCUUGGGAUGAACAGUUGUGUGGAUUUGUUGAACACUUUCUUCAAGGGCCGUCGAUGCUUGAUCUUGAAUUGGUGGAAGUUCUUCAAGGGCCGUUGGGGCUUGAUCUUGAAGGAGGAUUUGACGAAGAACGAAGAGGGCUUUCUUGAUCCUUCGGGAUUUGCUUGAAUUUGGGAGGUUGGAUGCUUGAAAGCUUUAGAGUUUCAAAGCUUCAAGGAUUUUGGAUGUGUGGGGAGUAUUCUCUUCCAUUUUGGGAGUAGAGAAAUGUAUUUGUGAAUUGGUUUUUGAUACCUUGAUGUAGAAGCCUAUUUAUAGGCUUUGAGAAUGAAUCACCACCACAAAAUAUUUUUUUUCUUUUCCAAGCACCAUUGCCUAAUUUCCCACUUAAUACAAUUUUAAACUUGAAGUGGUAAUUUUAUGGCCUAAUUUUCCACUUAAUAUCAUUUUAAACUUGAUAUGUGCAUGCUUUGUCAUUGCCCAAAAUGAGAAGAAAACCUUGUUUUGAUCUUCAAUGAAUUGAAAUGUGCUUGCCUUGUCAUUGCCCAAAAUGAGAAGAAAAACUUGUGUAAUCCUUCAAGGGUAUUUCUUUUUAUUUUGUUGAGUCGCACACCAUGUGUACAAUUUGUAUGACACGUGGCAUAUGCCAUGUACGCCUUGACACGUCAAAAUUUUAAUGCGUUGGUGAACAUUUAUUUCACCGCAAUUUCGGUGUCUACAAAUGCCCCCACUUCAAGGUGCGUCGUAUACAUGUGCUUGUCACGUGUAGGAGAUGCGUUUUGAAGUCCCUUACUGUAGAUGUCAAUCCAAUGGCCAUCGAGGCUUGAUCUUGAAUUGGGCUGGAGAUUUCUUCAAGGGCCGUUGAGGCUUGUUCUUGGACUUUGUUUGAAAUUUCUUCAAGGGCCAUCGAGGCUUGAUCUUGAAGGUUGAAAUUGGACCACAAGGAGCUUCAUGUGGUAGAUGAUCUUUGGCUUUGGUAGUGGAUGAAUCGGCACGUAUUUGUUUUUGCGCUUUGUUGACUUUCCACAGCUUUGAUCUUGAACUGGGUUGGAGGAUUUUUUGGAUUCCUCCAAUUGUUGAUUUUCCACAGUUUAUUCUUGAACUGGAUUUGAUUCAAAUAUGGUGGACGCUUGAUCUUGAAUCGGACUUGUGAUUUCCUCAAGGGCCGUCGAGGCUUGAUCUUGAAUUUGGCCGGAAACUUCUUCAAGGGCCGUUGAGGCUUGAUUCUUGAAGGUUGACUCGAACACAUGGCAAGCAGGCACGAGGUGAAGGUGACGACUUGUUGCUUUGUUCAAUCUUUCUAAUUCACACCUGAGCAGUUUGGUCAACGGUAUGAUCUUCAAGAUUGAUGGGCUCUUCUUCCAGUUGGUGAUUUGAUCUUUAAGGAUUUGAUUCAAGGGUGGUGAAACGGCACAUGCAGCCCACAACGCCUAGCAAGUCGACCCAAGAAUUUGAGGGUUAAAACGAGUCCUCCACCCAGAGUGAUUGCAAACCUGAUGAUAUGAGAUACUUUUGAUUUUGAAGAAGUAGCGGAUGAAUCGGCACGUGCUUUGUUGUGCUUGUCUCCACAUGCUUCAAUGUAUCAUUUUCCCUUGUCUUAUCUAUUCUUCUAGCAGAAUGUAGCAUCUUCUUAAGUUCUUCAACUCAGACUCCUUCUGCUGAGCUGACUGUGCAGGCUGCAUUAUUCUCUGCUUGUUUCUUUAGGCAGAUGUGGCAGCUUCUUGAGUUCCUCAGCUCGGACUCCUUCUGCUGAGCUGAUUGUGAAGACUGCAUUCUUAUCUGCUUGUUUCUUCUGUACGUUGUCUCCACAUGCUGCAAGGUAUCAUUUUCAAUUGCCUUAUUUGUUUUCCAGGCAAAUGUGGCAUCCGAGUUUGAGUGGAGGUUCUGGCAUAUUGUUUUCUUUAUCCUUGUCUUUGUAGGUAAGAACAAGGACAAAGGAAAGGACAGGGAGAACGCAUGAUAUGAUAUACUCUUGCUUUCUACCCUGGUGAUAUGAGAUACUUUUGCUUUGGUGUCAUUUGUUUGCAGAGGUACCCCAAGGAAUAAGAAACACUGAGUGACUCGAGAGGCUUUGUUGGGAAGGCAUUCUAGGAGAUGAAGAAAGGUUCUUGGAGAUGAAGAAAGGUUCUCGGAGAUGAAGAAAGGUUAUGUAUGUCUGCCUUGCUAUGGAGGGUAAAGGUGGACAGUUAUAGGAAAUUCUUUAGUACCUGUAGAGGUACUAUUCUUUUACUCGUGUCGGCAACCAAUGUGUGAUUGAUCAGUAUGGCUUCACGUGUUUUCUUCUUUAUCAGAAAUCUUCGACAAAUUGUCCGUAAUUUUCGUCAAGCUGAGUGUGCAUGUGACAGGUGUUGACGAGGCUGAAAAAGACUGGUGCCUCUUCGAUAUCUGGGAUCGGCGCUUCGACAAAUUGCCCGUGAUUUCCGCAAAGCUGAGUUUGCGCGUGACGGGUGCUGACGAGGCUGAAAAAGACUGGCGCCUCUUCGAUAUCUGGGAUUGGCGCUUUAACAAAUUGCCCAUGAUUUCUGCAAAGCUGAGUUUGCACGUGACGGGUGCUAACGCGUCUGGAAAAGCAAGAUGCUUCUCCGAUUUCUGAGCUUGCCUCUUUGAUUUUUGAAUUGGCCUCUUCGAAUUCUGAGCUCGCCUCUUCGAUCUUUGAAAUCCCAUCGAGUGUUGAUCUUUAUAGAGGCACGCAGUUCGUUUCAAAGCACACUUGAAUUUUCGCUUGUAGAAACUCCCUUCUUGCACUUCUAAGAUCUUGAUUUGUCCGACCUCUUCUUUCUUCAACACCUUUGAAAAUGUCUGGACCCUCCGACCGUCAUUUUGAUUUGAACCUUGGUGAAGAGGUAGUCCCGUCUUCUCCAGAUAACAUAUGACGCCCAUCUUUCAUAUCCCCUACUGGUCCUCUUACCGUUGGGGAUUCGGUGGUGAAGAAUGAUAUGACCGCUGCGGUGGUGGCCCGAAACCUUGUCACUCCCAGAGAUAACAGACUACUUUCCAAACGGUCUGAUGAGUUGGCUGUUAAGGAUUCUCUGGCUCUCAGUGUGCAGUGUGCAGGUUCUGUGUCUAAUAUGGCCCAACGCCUAUUUGCUCGAACCCGUCAAGUUGAAUCAUUGGCGGCUGAAGUGAUGAGUCUCAAACAGGAGAUAUUAGAGGGCUCAAGCAGAGAGAUAAACAGUUGCAUAAGCUCGCACAUAGCUAUGCGACAAACAUGAAGAGGAAGAUUAACCAGAUGCAGGAAUCUGAUGGUCAGAUUUUACUUGAUCAUCAGAGGUUUGUGGGUUUGUUCCAGCAGCAUUUGCCUUCGUCUUCUGGGGCUGUACCGCGUAAUGAAGCUCCAAAUGAUCAACCCUUGGCUCCUCUUCUUCCUGGAGUUCCGCCGAGUGGUGUGGCUUCAAACAGUCAACCUCCGACGCCUCUCAUUUCUGGAGCUCUGCUGAGUGGUGAGGUGGCACCUAAUCGUCCUUGAAGAUCCCCUCUUGUAAAUUUGAUUUGAUUUUUUUUUAAGUAUGUAUAAUGCAAAUUUAUGUAAAAUUUCCAGAAAAAAUAAAUAAAAACGGACUUUAUUUCUCUCAAUGCAUUUGUUUUGUUUUGUUUUUGUUUUUUUUGUUUUUUUGUUUUUGUUUUUUUUGUAAAUACAUAAUAACAUAUGUAUUUAUUUAUUUAUUCUUUUGUAAUAAAAUUGACUUUCUUUAAUAAAACUUUUAUAUUUUUCUUAUUUAUUUUGAUAUGACUGAACUCGAAAUUGAAUGUUCGAGCCGCCUACGUACCCUUCCAAAGAAGAGAUCAAGCCAUAACGUAGUUCAAAUGAGUGAUGAAUUUAAUAGUGAUUUUGAUGAUGAUUUUGCCGUACACAGUUUAUGCUCUUGUGGGCCAGGAGCUUUGGUGUUGCCUUUUAUGCUCGUGCAGACCAGGAGCGUUGAUGUCGCCUUUUAUGCUCGUGUGGGUCAGGAGCGUUGAUGUUGCCUUUUAUGCUCGUGCAGACCAGGAGCUUUGUGCCAUGCAGUUUAGACUCGUGCGGGCAAGGAGCUUUGGUUCGUGCAGUUUAGGCUCAUGCGAACAAGGAGCAUUGGUUCGUGCAGUUUAGGCUCGUGCGAACAAGGAGCAUUGGUGUUGCCUUUUAUGCUCGUGCAGACCAGGAGCUUUGUGCUAUGCAGUUUAGACUCGUGCGGGUGAGGAGAAUUUGUGAAUUUUGUCAAGCACUUUUGGAGAGGCGUUCCUUACAAUCUUCAUAGCAAGGAGCCUUGACCGAGUGAUUGAAGAAGUCUUCGGGAAAGAAGUCGCACAUCGUGAUGGCAACAGACGAUCUUUGUGUCGUAAUUUCAUCAUCUUCAACACGUUCACGUUGCUUUGAAGGUUGACAAGAGCUGCUUUGCCCCCUUUCCGAUUGGCGGACUUGUGGAGGAGACGUAUGCUUCUUGUGCCAUUUCUUAGGAGUGACUUGAGUCCAUCCUUCAAGUUUGCUUGUUUUGGAGGAUGCCCCCGGCGGUUGAGGUGAAAAUUUUGUGUUGAAAGAGCCAGAAGUGAUGGUGGUAUAGUUUGACUUCACCACAUCGUCAAGAUCUAGCUCGAUGAUUCCUUUCUGAGCCCACUUUAUGAUGAGAUCUUUCAGCACAAAGCACUUUUCUGUCGGAUGACUGAUGAAGCGGUGGAAUUUACAGUAUCUUGGACUGUUGGUACGAUUCAUCUCUUCCGGCCAUCUGCACUCAGGCAAACUGAUCACCUUCUUGUCCAACAGGUCAUCCAACAUGGCAACCACAUCAGAGUCAGGGAAUGGAUAAGUCUUCUCUUUAAGCUCCUUCAAAGUGCGUCUACGCAUCUCUUGAUCACGAAAAGCUUCGGUUUGAAUCGUUUUGCCUCGUGUGGAGAUUUUGACGGGAGAUGUGUUGACUGUCAUUGCUUCCUUGGUGGAUUUCCACGUAGCCUUCUCCACCUUUGUCUCAAGAAUUUUGUCGUUCUUGUAGUCGGCGAUCGGUUCCUUCUUCCCAUGAUGGGUGAUGCUCAACUCCAUGUCAUGGGCGUGGGUGGCCAAUUCCUCGAAGGUCCGUGGUUUAAUGCCUUGAAGGAUGUAUUGCAAACCUCAUUGCAUGCCUUGGAUGCACAUCUCGAUUGAAGAGGUCUCCGAGAGCCUAUCUUUGCAGUCGAGGCUUAGAGUGCGCCAUCUGUUGAUGUAGUCAAUGACCGGCUCAUCUUUCCAUUGCUUCAUACUUGUGAGCUCCAACAUGCUUACAGUGCGGCGGGUGUUGUAGAAGCGGUUGAGGAAUUCCCGCUCCAAUUGCUCCCAGCUGUUGAUGGACUCAGGCUCUAGGUCCGUGUACCACUCAAAUGCGUUUCUUUUCAGCGAGCGCAUAAACUGCUUGGCGAAGUAGUCCCCCUCCGUCCCCGCGUUGUUGCAAGUUUUGACGAAAUGUGCAACGUGCUGCUUUGGGUUUCCUUUUCCAUCAAACUGCAUGAACUUUGGUGGUUGAUAUCCCAUCGGCAUCUUUAGGGCAUCAAUCUUCUUUGAAUAAGGCUUUGAGUACAACCCGGAGGUAUUUGAGCUCCCUUCGUACUAUGCCUUGACGGUGCUGGCAAUCAUCUCUUGCAACUGUUGGAUAGAAAGAGAUCCCAUGAGUGCCGCUUCUUGGUCUGGCUCCGGCUUCACAUCGAUUUUCUCCACCGUAGGCUCAUCUUCUGGGUUAGGGUUCUCGCUGUCCUGUGGCUCCAGUUGACUGAUGAGUGCAGCGAUUUGCAAGUCUUUUUCUUCCACAGUUCGGGUUAGCCUUGCGAUUGCUUCAUUCAUUUGAGCCAGUUGUUCUUCGAUGGAGGUAACGCCGAUGGUCAUGACUUGUGCAACCAAUAGACGUGACUUUCCUUUAGACAUCCAAGAUGCUGAAGAAGAACGUCAUUGGUUGUUUUGGGAUGUCAUCUUGUGUGCCUCAGCAACAUGCUUUGGUGCCCCCAGCGAGGUCAGGUUGAUGACAGACUCACACCUUUGAUGCUCCCUUUGCUCUUUUAGCGGCACCAACUUUGAAGUGGCAUGUUAAGGAGCGGUUGUGGUGCUAAUGGAUUGUCCAUUUGCGGCAGAAGUGCUUAGGAUCCUUCCCUCAGUGAUUGCGAGAACGGCUUGUCCCUUGCUUGAUGCCAUUGAUUUUGAGGUGUGUUUGGAUUCCUUAAACGGAGAAAGAUAUGAGAGGUAGAGAUUGUCCCACCGGGCGUGCCAAUUUGUGAACACGAAAAUUUCCUGAAACGAAAGAGACAAGAACAACGUGCACAAAAUAAUAUUUUGGUGUUAAUGGAUUUGUUGGGUUACGAUCUCUUUUAACUUGAUCCUCUGAUUCGAUCUCCGUAAGGUGUUGAUUUAUGGAUGUUUCGUUGAUCUAAGGGCCGUCGAGGCUUGAUCUUGGAUGAACUGUUGGAAGUUUCUUCAAGGGGCCGUGGGCUUGAUCUUUGAAGGUGGAUUUGAGCGGAUCUUCAAGGAGCCGUUGGGGCUUGAUCUUGAGGAUGAGUGUUUCUUCAAGGGCCGUUAAGGCUUGAUCUUGAAUAACGGUGAUGAACGGAUCUUCAAGGGCUUUUGGGCUUGAUCUUGAAGAACGGUUGGAUGUGUGGAUUUGUUGAUGUUGUUGAUCCAAGGGCCGUCGGGGCUUGAUCUUGGAAGAACGAUGAACGAAGAACGAAGAACACUUUCUUCAAAGGCCGUCGGGGCUUGAUCUUGAAUUGGUGAUUGUUGAUCCAAGGGCCGUCGGGGCUUGAUCUUGGAAGAACGGUGAACGAAGAAUGAAGAACGAAGAACACUUUCUUCAAGGGCCGUCGGGGCUUGAUCUUGAAUUGGUGAUUGUUAAUCAAAGGGCCGUCGGGGCUUGAUCUUGGAAGAACGAUGAACGAAGAACGAAGAAGGCUUUCUUGAUUCUUCGGGAUGAACGGAUGAUGAACAAUGAACACUUUCUUCAAGGGCCAUCGGGGCUUGAUCUUGAAUUGGUGGAAGUUCUUCAGGGCCUUUGGGGCUUGAUCUUGAAGGUGGAUGAUUGUUGAUCCAAGGGCCGUCGGGGCUUGAUCUUGGGAUGAACAGUUGUGUGGAUUUGUUGAACACUUUCUUCAAGGGCCGUCGAUGCUUGAUCUUGAAUUGGUGGAAGUUCGUCAAGGGCCGUUGGGGCUUGAUCUUGAAGAAGGAUUUGACGAAGAACGAAGAGAGCUUUCUUGAUCCUUCGGAAUUUGCUUGAAUUUGGGAGGUUGGAUGCUUGAAAGCUUUAGAGUUUCAAAGCUUCAAGGAUUUUGGAUGUGUGGGGAGUAUUCUCUUACAUUUUGGGAGUAGAGAAAUGUAUUUGUGAAUUGGUUUUUGAUACCUUGAUGUAGAAGCCUAUUUAUAGGCUUUGAGAAUGAAUCACCACCACAAAAUAUUUUUUUCUUUUCCAAGCACCAUUGCCUAAUUUCCCACUUAAUACAAUUUUAAACUUGAAGUGGUAAUUUUAUGGCCUAAUUUUCCACUUAAUAUCAUUUUAAACUUGAUAUGUGCAUGCUUUGUCAUUGCCCAAAAUGAGAAGAAAACCUUGUUUUGAUCUUCAAUGGAUUGAAAUGUGCUUUGCCUUGUCAUUGCCCAAAAUGAGAAGAAAAACUUGUGUAAUCCUCCAAGGGUAUUUCUUUUUAUUUUGUUGAGUCACACACCAUGUGUACAAUUUGUAUGACACGUGGCAUAUGCCAUAUAUGCCUUGACACGUCAAAAUUUUAAUGCGUUGGUGAACAUUUAUUUCACCGCAAUUUCGAUGUCUACAAUUUCAUUUCUUGUGAAUAAUGUUUAUCCUGUGUUCUGUCCAAUCGCGUAUUAAAAAAUGUGUGAAGUUUGGAUUAACCACACUCUUUUAGAAUUUCCUUUAUUUACCACUUUUUGAGAAUUUCCAAUAAGACUGGGUGAGUCUCCGCUGAGAAUUUCCUCAACUAACACCACACUACUUGAGGGAUAAUUUGUUAUAUCUUUGAAUAAAGAAUAAAACAGUUUCCUACUUUUGAAGGUACUAUUAACUUACACUAUAUUUGGAUGAAGGUCAAACUUUAUAAAUUGACAUACACCAAAUUCUUUGUUUGGAUUCAUAAACAUAUAAAUUUAGAAUUUCCGCGUGGAAAAAAAAAAUACUUAGAAUUUGAGACCUCCAAUUCUCAAAUUGAAAGUUUAAAAAUAAUAAAUUCCGUAUUCAAUUCAAUUGUUCUUUUAGGUUAACCAAAUAAGAAAAUUCACAAAUUCUAAAAUAUAAAAUCUCAUCAUUUCAAUUUCCGUCAUUUUAAAAUUCCUUAGUAAUAUUAAAUUUCUUCAUCCAAACAUAGUGUUAAGAAAUUUUUUAAAGAUACACUAUUUACACUCAUUUUUAUUUCUUACACAUUUAUUAACUUUGUCCAUUGAUUUCUUCAAUUCAUUUUGCCAGUUAUACAAAAAUUGAGAACAGUAUUUAUGAAUUAAAAAUACAUUUGUAGAUGUCACUACCAAAUUUUUAUUCCUAAUUCAAGAAAAUCUUAUCCAUAUAUGAUUGCCCUUGCCCACUUUAAAUGGGUGCCAUCACUUUACGAUAGAGCAAUCCUAACCGUCCACCUAGGUAAGCAUAACUGGCGAUGCAUGUCGCAAGGGGACCGCAUUGCACAAUAUAAUUAUACUAGUUGAUAAGACAAGUGAUGUCAAUCAAUAAAUUAUUUCAUUAAAACUUAGUUGUAUGUAUCAUAUGUUGUAAUGUAGGGUGUAUGAUAUGCUGACGCUGUAAAAAAAUGUAACCUUUUUAAUAUUACUCAUAAUAGUAAGACUUACCAGUAUUAGGAUGUUAUCAGUGGAAUGAGAAUCCUCUCCAGAUCUUUUUUGUGAGCUAUUAUUUGUAUUUAAUUUUAAAUAUAAAAAAUUAAAAUAAUUUAUGACGGCAGUGAUUCACAUGAUCUUCACAAAGAGAAUCCAAAUAAUCUUAAUUUAUAUCAGUGUGUCUAGAUAACAUGAUCGAGCCCCUUUACUUUUACCCUAUUUAGUAUUUUACAUUUGAACCUGUAAAUAUUCGAUUUUUCUUUGGUGCAACCGAGCACCAAAUAUAGAUUUUUUUUCACUUUUAUAUAAUGAUAAAUAAAGGGCAAUUGGCAGAUUUGAAUUCCAUUCGGAUUGGUCAAAAAUCAUUUUAAAUUGUUUUAUUUAAAAUUAAACACAUAUAGUACUUAAUAAAAAUUAGUCGUACAAUAUACGAUAAACAGAUAUAAUGUAAGGACCUUUAUGAUCUUCACAAAAAAGAUCCAAAGGUUGUGUAGCUGUUUCAAAAGGAUAAUACUCACUUUUGAUUAGUUCAAUGAAAUUUUAAACAUGUUUUAUUGUUUUAAAAAAUAAUAAACAUAUUUAUUAAUGUUUGUUUUACUUUAAAAAAUAAGCAGCACUUGACAACAUUUGAUUGUGCUAAAUAAAAAAUGAGUGACCACUUAGUACUACAGUCUUAUGAUAUUUUUCUUCAUUUGAAAGUGAGAGGUUUUAAGUUCGAAUCUCGUGGAUGACGAAUUUGAUAUCAAAUUAGAUUGCUCACUAUGUGGCUUAGCCGAACUCUCAUUUCCUUUAAUGUAAAAAUAUUGAUGUAUUCAAAAAAAUAAAAAGUGACUAUAGAGGACACUCAAUCUCAGCUGUAUGAUUAAAUCAGACGGUAAGAAAAAUUCUGCAAGCAUACUCGGUUACAUUAAUUGAAGAAAAAAUGGGUAAAUAUUGGGCACCAACGUUAUAAAUACCCUCCACCAUGCACCCAACUCCCUCACACCAUCACAACCCACGUUACAAAUCCUCCUCCUCAUCAUAACCAUUCUGUUUUCCGCAUAAUAUCCAAAAACCUAUCAUGUCUGAAGAGAAACACCACCGCGGUCUCUUCCACCACCACAAGGAUGAAGACAAACCCUCAGACUACCCUCAGUCUGGCUACUCUGAUGAAGGACGUCCCGGCGGCCUCGGUGGUGGUUACGGCGACACCAAUGAUUAUUCUGGUGAAGGACGUACCGGCGGCCUAGGUGGUGGCUAUGGCGACACCAAUGCUUAUUCUGGUGAAGGACGUCCCGGCGGCUAUGGCGGCUAUAACGAGACCACUGCUUACUCUGAGGAAAGAGUUGAAAGACCCGGCGGUGGCCGGUACAGUGAGACUACUGCGGCAUAUGGCAGCACCACCACUCAUGAAUCUGAACUUGAUUACAAGAAGGAGGAGAAGCACCACAAGCAUCUCGAGCACCUCGGCGAGGCCGGUGUAGCUGCUGCCGGCGCUUUUGCCUUGGUACGUAUUGUAUUUUAACCCACCUCUAUAUAUAUAUAUAUUAGAAUAAUGCUAAUAAGACCAAAUUUUGAAAACUAAAUGAUGUGGUUGUUGAUAAUGAACUUAUUACUCAAGUCUUGAUUAACAUGCUUAUUUUCUAAUAGUGACACAUUAUUUGGUUUAGAAAUUUGGUCUUCCUAACUUUAUCAUUCUCAAAAUUUUCAUGAUUUUGAUAGGGUAAUACGGGAGAUCAAAAUUUCUAAACCAAAUUUGCAAACCAAUAGAUGAUUGGAUUAUUAAUUAAGUAUCGAUUGUUUGUUUCUUAUUAACGACAUAUCAUUUGAUUUACAAUUUAGUUAAAAAAAAUUUAUUCUUUCUGUCAUAUCCUUUUGAAUAUUUGAUCACUUUACUCUUUAUCACUUUACCCUUGAUCACUUUACCCAUACUCUUGCAACCGAAUCACCGUCCUCCUCCUUAACCUUCAUUUUUUUGUCUUACAGUACUCCAAUCUAUCAACUCUGUCCAUUGCAACUUUAAUUGUGAAGAAAAUUAAAGUCCUAUCGUAAAAUUAAUUAGUGAUAUGGAGAGUUGCGCAAUUAUUGAUGGACUAGGUAGGUAAGAUACGGAAUCAAAGUCUACCAUUAACAAUGGACGGAAUUGAUGAACCAUAUAGGUAUGUAAGAUACGGAAUCAAAGUCCUCAUGUAAAUGGUACAGUUGCAAUCAGGAGAAGAAAUGAGUUAACUGAUACCUUCGUAAUAGUUCAUGUAGAGUUUUGAUAUUAUUAAGCCUUAACCACCUGAUCUUAUAUAUACGAGGACAAAUCUAAUCAAAUAUGUGUUAAUUUCAAGGUUUGUUUUACAUUGAUGUGAGAUCGAUGCUAGCAAGAUAUAUAACUUAUGUCAGUUUCUAUAUGAUGUGUGUAGCAUGAGAAGCACAAUGAAAAGAAAGACCCAGAGCAUGCCCACAGGCACAAGAUAGAAGAGGAGAUUGCUGCAGCAGCUGCAGUUGGUUCGGGUGGAUUUGCCUUCCAUGAGCAUCAUGAGAAGAAAGAGACAAAGGAAGAA